CGCGGGGCCCCCACGCACCUGGGCUGCCAGCGACAAGCUCCCCCCUCCCGGGCCGGUCGCUUCGCAGGAGCUGCCGCUCUCGGUUUUCUCGGGGAGGGAGAGGCGGUUUCACCCUCUCACCGCACCGCGCACCCCCUGGUUUUCACAAACGUUCUGUUACCCUGUUGCUGCAGCCAACGCGGAUCCGAACGCCGGGGCUACAAAGGCUCGCUGCUUUCUCAUGCUGGAUCCCUCAAAUCCAAGAGCUACUUGGCAGUUUCCAAGGCAACCACCUGUGGAAUAAUUAAAAAGGAUGAAGCGUUACUGGGCACCAGAUAUAAGGAAUUCUUGCCUGGAGAGAGCGCUUCAUUUUCAUCUGUCUUGAAGAAUCAAAUGUGUUUCUGCCAGCAAAGUUAAGAAGGAACGGUGACUGAGUUGUACAAGCAAACCAGGAUAAUCCAAAAAGUAAGUCAAAGACAAAUGCUAAUUUUCCUUUUCUCAGAGACCCAUAGGGCAAGUGUUCUAUAGGACAUCCAUGUAAUUAGGAAGGCAAUUAGUUUUCUUUCAUUUUUUUGGCUGUGAGUGUAGCAAAUGCGGUUUGUAGAGCUGUUCGAGUUACUUGGUCAUUUCUCUCCCUUUCUUACCACUGUACCAAGGCAUAAAGUGGUUCAAGGUUGUGUGGUGUAAUUGUAUUAUUCCCAUUGUUGUAGCAGUGAUGGUCCAAGGUGUGGAGAGGAGAGAUUUGCAGGGAAAGGCUUGACCUCUUAUUAAAGUGUUUCUGCUAAACUUUGAGUUCUCAAGCCAACCUACAGGAAUGCAAGAAAAGCUGGAAAGGGGUUUUGGACUCUAAAGCUUGUUAGUAUUCUCCAUAAUACCAGCGUAAGAAAGUUCUUAACCUUAAGGCUGCUGUGUCUUUGGCUGAGUAUUUUGGAUAUAUUAAAACCAUUUACUUGAGAGUACUGUAUGUGUUUAUGGUUUAGCACAGGAGUUUUUUGCAGGUUGGCCAAGAAAGCAGGAUGUUUUUCAGUGGUAUGUUAGGCUCCAGGCCUUACAGCUCGUCUUUCUGAUUCACUUGUAGCAGGCAAUAGCAAAUUUUGUAGGUAGCUGCAUUUAACUGUCUUGAACAGAGCAUGUACUGUGUGUUACCAUCUACAUUGCAACCGUAAUAACAAAACCUAAGAUUAUUCUGAAUUUGCUUUCACAAUGGCUAACGAGUGGACUCAUUAAAAGAUUGCGGGAGGUUUUCUAUGUAUUGUUGACUCAACUUUAAAAUAUCUAUAAGCCUGCAAAAUAUGUCUCAGCUUACUUACUAGGGGAUGAGUUUGUUUUAAUGCAUAGGUUUUGAAAUUAUUGAUGACUCCAGUUUGUCAAACAGCAUUAGUGGGGGGCUUUCUGUAUGAUUUUUCUAUUACUAAUAUGAAUGUCAUUUUAAUUUAUACCCAUGUCUCUUCUUUUUUGUCUGAAAAGUUAUUCUACAGACUUGCUUUUUAUAGACACUUUCUAUUUAAAAAAAAAAAGCGGUAGAACAUGUGUCAGGCAUAUGCAAUUCCUUCAGCAUCAUGUUUUCCACACUGAUUUAAUAGCUAUUGAGUCUCCUCAAAUAUUCUUGUUUCCAAGACCUGUUUUAGGGUAAUAAAUCUUCUUGGCUGUAAAAUUCUUGAAAUGAUUCAGUAGGAUGAUUGUUUCCUUAGCACAUUCCAUGGGAGAGAAUAGCUAGAAAUGGAAAAGUCCUUAACCAGGUCAUCUUUUUCCCUGCAAUACAUGUAGUCAGUGUUGGAAGUGAUAACGAAAUUGCCAAUGUUUGUUCUGGCGAAUUGUCCGGUUCGCCCUAUUAUCCCAAUUUCCCUCUUGGUAAUUUACAGUAAGUUUUUUGUUAGUGUUGUGCUAAACUACGUUGAGAAAUGCAUAGAUGGGUGAAGAAGAAAAGCUGUGGCAUUGUGUGAUACGACUCUUAAUUUGAACAAAAAGGCCUUGAAUUUCAUACGAAUGAUGCCGUCCUUGAGGCAGACUGUAGUUUAAUAAAUUGUCAGGUAUGCAAAGAUGAUUAAGUUGCGAUUCCUGGUCUGUCGGUGUCUGGAGGGUGGACACACAUAACCCCUGUGGCUUUCUGAAAUAGCUGUUAAGAUUGGACAUGGCUUUUUGGGAGCGGGUAAGAAAGGAAUUCUGCCAAGAGCCCACAAGGAGUUCUGCAUAUUGUCUUUCCAGGGUAAUCCAUUAGGUAUUUAUUCUGGAACGUUAUGUGUGCGAAAAAAAGGGAGACGUGUAUUUGCCAAAACUCUGCACAGCUGGAGCUCCAGGUAAAAACACCAGGUUAUACCGAGAGACACAGAAUCCCUUGGUCUUUUUUUACUAGUUAGACAUCAAAAUUUGGAAUUGUCCUUUAGGUUGGUCUAUUGUGAGGGAGGUGCCAAGUUCUGGGGUUGGUUCCUCCAUGAGCAUUUCUUAAAGUGCUCAGGCUUUGGGAUCUGAGAUCCUGAUCCUCUCUGAAUACCUCAGGAUAACAGGGCUCUGCAUUUCCCCCAGGGUUUAUAGCAGAUUUGUGUGUUAAAUCUGCUUUUACCUUUGUUUUGGAAAAGGGAUCCUUGUAUUAGUACUGGCCUCACCUGCCAGGCAGAGACAUCGAUUUAAACUAUGCGUUUUAAUCAGGUGCUUUUACUACAAGGCAUAAACCUUUGUUUUUAAUGUUUUACUUCAAAAUGAUCCAAAAUAGCUUUUGUUAUAUUACUGGAUACUACUGGUCAUGAUAGAGAAUAACCUCUGUGCUUUAAAGGUGGGCUCUAAGAUUACAUUGCGUCAGCAUGCUCAUUCUAGAUAACGUCUUACAGAAGAAACAGUAAUACUUCGGACCAGUUUAUGUGUGUGCACACAGAUGUUUUUGGGGUUGAUCUUUGCUGCCAUAGUCCUGUUCGAAUUGUUGGUUGGUUGUGUGAAGAUGUAGGGUGGUCUAAUAAAUGGACCAGGUGAUGAGAAGCUUUUAAUUUGCAGUUGAAGUUCUGCUGGCUCAUGCACCUUCCACAAAGUCGCGUUGUCAGCUGUGUUUGUCACUUGUACCUGUGAAGUGAGGGCACCAGAACUACUACAGAGUUCAGAUACAAUGAUUAUAUAUUAAUGUUUUGACUCUUCAGCGAGAAAGCCCAAUAUCUGACCCUCAGGCUUGCACACAUGUGAGCAAACAGGUGUCAUGGAGCACAUCACCAUUCAGUCUGGUAGCUUGGAGAGGCAAAUGACUGAAAGUUUGAAGAGGGAAGAACACCCAACAACAGUAAAGAAAGUCAUUUUCCUCUCCAGGUAUCUGUUUUCUUCUGGAAAGGUCCCACAGGCCUAAAAGGAGACAAACCACAAAGAGGUCAGUGUUAUUGGAUGUGUGUGAAGUAGCCAUUAAUGCAGGCAGCGGGUAUUCAAAAAGAAACUCUCCGUUUGACGGUGCUGUCUUCUGGAUGACUUAGAAACAUAAAAACACAACUUAUUUUUAAAAGAGCACUUCUAAUUUUUGUCAGAUAUGAAAGCACCUGUAACUUUAAUGCGUGCUUUGCCAAGAGAGGGAGUGUGCUAAGACUAAUUAAUGCAUUUCCAUUUUCUGAGUUGUGUCUGCGGUGCGAUGGCUUCUCAUACACAAUUGCGGCACCACCGUUAACACUGCGAAGUUUUUAUGUGCACUUUGUAGGGACUCUCCUCUUGUGCCACAUGAGUGUGUAGUGGUCUGUGUUGCUCACUGCACGUCAUCGGGCUAAAGGGUUGACCAUCAAUUUGUUCUGGAUUCUCUGUCUGCAGCUGUUUUCUGAGCUGCAGGAAGCCACAGGGAACAGGAAUCUUGUAUCUUCAUUUUUCCCCCUUUCCCAUAGUAAUACAGCUGCUAAAACAACUUUUCUGCAAUGGUAAAAAGCGGUGAUGUAUCAACCUGGAAUAUACAUGUAUUCACAAGAGCAAGCUUAUAUAUUCCCAGGCUAAGAGAUAAAUGGAGUCUGUUCUUGCCUUCCCCACCUGUGCUCUGUGGCAAUCAGUCUGAUAGUCCAAAACUGCAGCUCUCUGAAGACUUCUAAUGCUUGAAAUUGGAAGACACCUAACAGCAAAACUUCCUCAGUUUUUGUUUUUAAUUUCUUGCUUAAAAAGCACUUGUUUUCAGAUCUUUUUAGAUAUCGAAGAUCCGGAGUUUAGCUAGAAAUUCACCUUUCAACUGUUUGCAAGCUGAAAAUGGAAAUUCAGAGAUGUAUCCCAGCUUGCAGUGGUGCUCGCUCGGUCAUGUUGAAUUCUCUCAGGCAAAUCAAUCUGCACACAGACACACACACAGGGUGACAGAGGAACGCAGGGUCUUAAAUCCGCUGUUCCUACCUGGAUAAGCUGCGGUCGUGCUUGUCUCUUGGUGCUGGGAAGGGUGUGCAUCAGGCAGAGGACGGGGUACCGGUCUUUAUAAACCUCUUUCUGUAGAAAUGCUGGGUGAGGAAAAAAAUCUUCAUCCUAUAAAUAUUUGUGUGUUGAUAAUACUUUUGCAUAACAUGAAAGUCUGAGACUGACAAAUCAUUAUUAACCUUUAUUUAGAUUUUAUUUUCCCCUGAGGUUGGUUUUCAUGGCUCAGGGGUGGCAGCCUAUAUCCUUAAGGCUACAUAUGACUCACAGUUGUUUCAUACAUCCUACCAUCAUGUUAUUUUUCACAUUAUGUAUUCACAUUAAUGUAGAACCGUACAGACAUGUUUAUUAACAAAUGGACAUGACUUGCUAAAUAUAUUUAAAAGCCUUGGCCUUUAGCUAGAAAAAAAUCUUUGUUGCUGUGAACUGUUACAUUACACCCAUUUUCACUUGCGGAGAUACCAAGUGUUUGAGAAGCCUUAGUUACUGAGACCACCUGGAUAAAAGCUGGGGAUGGACAGAGGUAAAUCACUGCUCCUAACAUUUUGAGGGAUGGAGGAACUACAACCUGUUUAUUUCUAGCUGAGAAAUCACUUGUCCAGCUGUGGCCCCUCAGUUCCAGCAGGACAGGGAACUGCUGGAGAGAGUCCAGCGCAGGGCAACAAAGAUGCUGAAGGGAGUGGAGCAUCUCCCGUGUGAGGAAAGGCUGAGGGAGCUGGGGCUCUGGAGCUGGAGAACAGGAGACUGAGGGGUGACCUUAUUAAUGUUUACAGGUAUAGAAAGGGUGAGUGUCAGGAGGAUGGAGCCAGGCUCUUCUCAAUGACAGCCAGUGGUAGGACAAGGGGUAAUGGGUUCAAACCGGAACACAGAAGGUUCCACUUAAAUUUGAGAAGAAACUUCUUCUCAGUAAAGAUAACAGACACUGGCCCAGGCUGCCCAGGGAGGUUGUGGAGUCUCCUUCUCUGCAGACAUUCCAACCCGCCUGGACACCUUCCUGUGUAACCUCAUCUGGGUGUUCCUGCUCCAUGGGGGGAUUGCACUGGAUGAGCUUUCCAGGUCCCUUCCAACCCCUGACAUUCUGGGAUUUUGUGGUUGUUGAGCUUACAGUUUUAUAUGUCAUAUUCAUAUCACACAGUUUUGAGUCUUGCAUGAAGAUAGUGAGGCAAAAAUACAACUUUAUAGAAGAAAAAGAUAAGGUGUGGGGUUGUUUGUUUUUUUUUUUUUUUUUUUCUGUAAAAUAUCAAAUCCAGGACUAGAGCUGUUGUCCUUUUCAGUGGGGUGAUGGCCUCAUGGAUGGUCAAUGUGGAUGGUCCUCUGGGUUUCUUCCACUGGAAUUCCACUGUCUGCAGCGGUUUAUAAUCCUUCUGAAUGGGGAAGCUCUGGAAGAGACUUUGCUUGUCCGAGACAGGUGGUUUCCCCCAUGUGGAACCAGCCUCCUGGUGACAGGACAAGGUGGAACGAAGGGUGCAGAGGGGAAGUUCGUAUCUGUUGUGAUAAGGGGUAUAGUUUUAAACUAAAGGAGGGAGAUUCAGGCUGGACAUGAGGAAGAAAUUGUUGCCCCUGAGGGUGGUGAGAGCCUGGCCCAGGUUGCCCAGAGAGGUGGUAGAUGAACCAUCCCUGGAGACAUCCCAGGCCAGGCUGGACAGGGCUCUGAGCAACCUGAGCUGGUGAAGAUGUCCCUGAUCAUGGCAGGGGGGGAAACUGGGGGAGUUUUGAAGGUCCCUUCCAACCCAAAUAACUCUGUGCUAUCACAAAUAGUAAUGAAGAUUCCCAGUCUGUUCAAUGAGUUUGUAUGUGUAGCAGUGCAUUCAGCGUAACCCCAGAUGGCUUUGCAGAUAAAUUACUUAUCAUUGCUUUGUGUACCAACAGCUGUCCAAUUUAAAGCUUGCUCUAAGAAAUUCUGGAUAUUGUUACUCCAACUUUGGUGAUGGGGGAGAUGAGCUUUAGGAAGAGCACUUGAUGUAAAUGUUCCGUGACAGCUACACAGCAGAGCAGGGACCAGAACCCAGGGAAGUUUUCAAAAGCUGUGGCCAACAAAGGCACCUAAGAUUUCUUUUAUUUUGUUUUUUCUUUUUUUAAUUAGAAGGGUAAUAGGACACAGACAUGGAGCCUGUAGACCCGUAUUCUUUUUGUACUUCUCCUUCAUUCUGUGAGCUUGGACAGGUUGUUUUGCGUUUUCCUGCUUCAGUUCUCCUGUCAGAGAUAUGUAUGUUUUACUUGGUAUUAGUAAAGUACUUUAAAAUAAAAUCUUGAACUAGUGUUAUUGUGGAUUUCUAUAAGCUUACUUGAAAUCCCUUUCCUCCUCACUCAUGCCCUCCCAAGCACAAGAAUAAGUAGGUUUUAUUUAUUUUGUUUUGUUUUCAAAUGGUAUUGAUUGACUGGUAUUCGGCAACUACUUAGGGCAGGGUUUAACUGAUGCUUUCUGUUGUCCAGACAUCCACUGAAGAGCUUCAAAUUGAGUGUGCUGUUGGGUACAUUGUGUCUCUGAUUCUGUUAGGGACAUGGUAAGGCAGGAAUUAUUUCCUUGUUCAGUUUACUGAGCAGGCUGGAGUUUCAAAACCUUUGAGUGUAACAGACCUUUACAUUAAUAUUGGCUGAUCUUAUACAUCGAUCAACCAGAGCUUGGAGCAUCAUGGGAGGAUGGCUGAUCUAUAGCCUGAUGAUGGUAAAAACCCGGUUUGUACAACCAGAAAGCUCAGUGUCAGGCUGUUAAUGUUCUCUGCAUCACCAUCAGGUCCUGAACACUUCAUCACCUUCUGGCCCUCAGACGUGAAGGGCUGAUGUACUGGUACCAAUCUGCUGUGACCCAGCAGCAACAGAACCUCUGGGCAGAGAGAAGUUCUUGUGCUGAGAUGCUGCUAUGAAAAUGAUGAGGCAUCUGGAGCAUCUUUCUGAUGAUGAGAGGCUGAGAGAGCUGGGGCUGUUCAGCUGGAGAAGAGAAGCUGAGAGGGGAUCUCAUCAGUGUUUAUAAUGUUUAUAAAUAUCUCCAGGGUGGGUGUCAGAGGAUGGACCAGACUCUGUUCAGUGGUGCCCAACGACAGGAUGAGGGGCAACGGGCACAGACUGAAGCACAGGAGGGUCCAUCUGAAUAUGAGGAGAAACUUCUUUCCUUUGAGGUGCCAAAGCCUGGCCCAGGCUGCCCAGAGAGGUUGUGGAGUCUCCUCUGGAGACAUUCAAACCCACCUGGACACCUUCCUGUGUGAUCUGCUCUGCUGACCCUGCUUUAGCAGGUGGGUUGGACUGGAUGAUCUCCAGAGGUCCCUUCCAACCCCAGCCAUCCUGUUAUUCUGUUGGGAAUGCAAGAAGUUAAUUCAAGCCGACAUUAACCUAUGUGGAUGCAGUGGUUAACAAGGAAAAUGUAUUGAUUUUGCACAGCCAAGUGUUGUAGAAAUAGUUGAGUUAAAUCACCGUGCUUAGAAGAAAAAGCUUUCCAGUGAAACAGCCUUGCUUAGAAGCAGCCUGACACACUGAUGUGCAGCUUUGCAUUCCCCGUCAGCAUUACCAGCGUCCUGGCAAGAAUCCCACGUGCGGAGCUGAGGAAGUGGAUCGUAUAAAAGCAGAGUUCUGUGGGCUUUUUGUUCUGCAUUGAUCCGUCAGCCUUGUGCAACUGUACUGGGGCAGAGCAUCUGCAUCCCACGUCUGGAGACACAGAGCGAGUGUGCUCCUGAAGGAUGGCGACUGAGCAUCGCUGUGAUUCCGUUCAGGGCUGCCGAGUGCCUGGCAGUAUGUGCACAAGCUAGCUGUAAUUUAUUUUAAUUAAAUACAAUAGCUGCGUACGUACUGCAGAAGGGAUAAGACAGGGAUUCCCCACCUAUAAUUUGUCAUCUUGCCGUUUGGAUUUCUUUGCUGUCGUCUUCCCUCUUCACAGGUUUGUGCGGAGAUGCCUCAUCCUUCCCCUGUCUUUUAAAAUACAACACGUUUUCUUAAACUUUUUCUGUUGUCAAGAAGCCAUUCAUGCUGUUUGGUAGCGGAGGCAUCCCUGUCCUUCCUCACACACACACCUAUGCAGGUUUUAUUUGAAUAACAGAGCUGCAGGAAGCAGAAUUCCCAUCCCGUGGGAGCCUUCUCGUAUCUGAUUUGUAUUUUCUGGAUUAGGGAGCUUGCAGUACCCACCCCAGGGCUGGCAGGCGGCCGGGCAGGAAGCUGGACAGACUGGCUCGCCGGCCAAUCUUGUUGCCUUUUAUAGAGCGUUUUCAUGAAAUCAGCACAUUUCCACGCAAUCAGUGUUUUGCAUUGUAAAAAUUGUUGAGUUUGGGAGUUUUUGGAGCGGCUCUGGUUUAGUCUGCAACUUGUGACUUCUGGAAAAUUGUUGGCUAAUUUUAGUAAUUAAUACAGAGGAUUUUGUGAUGAGAGAGGUGGUGUUUCUAUGGUAGAAAAUCCUCUUGGAAGGACGUUCUUCAGUGGAUGUGAAGGAUUGCCUGGUGUGCAUCCUUGUUCAUGUGGGUGAGUUACCUGCCAGGGACCUCAUGUUCGCCAUCCACAACUCUCACAUCACAGCAACUGUUUCUUAUUAAAUUGCUGCCAAAUCUUUUCUGAUUUCUUAGAAUGGCUUACCUGGGUGAAAUCCAAACCAUGUAGGACCUGAAUCUCCCAAACUUUUGGGUAGAGCAAAGACACUUCAGUGGUGAAUUACAACAGGGGAGAAGCGACAGGAGCCUUUAGGUCUGGAGGACAGUGAGUAACUAUGUUCAGAGUACACAGCUGUGCCUGGUGCUCAGUCAGGAUAACGCCGUGCUGCUCUUUACAGAUGUUUUGCAACUAGAACAUGACACCCUAGUACACGUUUUUUGAAGCAGGCUGCAUUGUCUCAUUAAAUCACACUAGUGCUAAAACAGGCUUGACUCUUUAGGCAGUCCAGUUUAACCUCCUGCUCAAAGCAAGACGGACUUGGAAGUUAUGACAAGCUGCUAAGGGUCCUUCCUACUUGAAAAUCUCCAGGAACAGAGUCGAUGGCCAUGGAAGUGCUAGAAAGAAGCCAAACUUGCUUUCUCAAGAUAAGACAUUGCUGCUGAAAGAUGUUGAUGUUUUGUGGGCUUCUUUAGCAUCUGAUGGAAAACCCCUCAAAUCCAACAGGCGCAACAGAACCAGGUGUCAAGCGCUUUAGAGAGGUCAGGCUGAUCUUGAGUGUAUUUUCUCUCUUAGUCCUCUACAAUAAAUUAAUCUCCCUCCUUGCAAGAUUCUUUGCAUCAUGAAGCAUCUUGAGGUUGUGAGUUUACAAUCAGUCCCCAAUUAGCAGUUCAGUGAAAAUGAUUUCAAGUGAAAUCAUAGCUUUGCUUAUUUAAGUAGUUGCUGCUUUCAGGGGAAACAUGAAUGUAGCUUCAUUUCUCAGAAGCCUGUAGUGGCCUUUGAGUGUGUCCUUAGAACAGAUCUGAUGUUUACACAGGCAUUACAAAUCGUCUGUAUCAUUUUGAAUGAGCCGGUCUUAAAUGGAAUUCCAUCCACUAGGGAGGUAUAUAUUUGAAAAUGGAAAACACGGUGUUUUUCUUGGCUGUUGUAUUUGCACAGUCACUGUGUGGAAGCUGCGUGUGUAAAUCCCACCGGAGGGGAAUGUAGAUGAUGACCAAGAGUACCAAUAAAAAGAAUAAAGGGAGGAACUUUCCCUUCAUGUCGUUAGUUUGAACAGGUUUGGUGGUUCUUGUGUACACAGUGUAACUUCAUGGGAUCCCAUCCAGAUUCACAAUAGGUAAACAGUUCCUCAGAAAUCAAAGGAGGUAUCAUCUUAUAAAACUUGCAUAGUAGGAAAGUUUGGCCUUUGUAUCCAGAAGCUAAACUGGCUGAGCAAACAUCUCAUAUUGACAUGGUUUCUUAGUCUGCCUACCUUAGACUUUGAGUGUGAAAAUUACCUCUGGCAAAAUGAAACAUAUCUUUAAUUAAAACAUAUUUAGCUUCUCGCUCAAAAGAGCCGUGUGUUCUUAGCAGAAGGUAGCUGGUUUAACUCUGUGCUGAACCUUUUUCUCCCUGUUUUCUGCUCCUAGUGCAUAGGGAACUAGAGCUGUGGCAACAUGGCUGUUGCUUAAUAAAACUACAGUGAGAUUCAGGAGUUUACAGCCAAGGAGUCAACUCUGCAAACUGUUUUUUUCCAUACCAAAGAAGCAUGAGUCAAAUUUUGCUAAGUGAGUCAAAUCUAUCCUCAGAUUCAUUUGAAGACGCUCUGAUGGAUAUAUAAUUUGCAACAGUAUUAUGCAUAGAAAUGGCUUAUUAAAGUGAUUUAGUUUGUAGUGGGAAGGGACAGGGUGGGCAGAAGUGAUGGGGAGCAAGGCAAGUCAACUCGGGUGUGCCUGAGUCCCUAGAAACAGCGCGUAGUCCUGUAGUAUAGUAAGAUUAUCUUUAAUCCACCGCUCCUGCGGGGGUUUGCUGGGGUCUGAGAUGUUGUUAACGUAGGUAUGUUUUCUCUUGGUGAUGCUGCAAAACCCUGGUCUUCAGGCUAACAGUGCUGCUUAAAUGAGGAUGAAGGUGGUUCCUGAACUUACAAGACCUACUCAGCUUAUCCUUUGAGAUGCAUGUUGGGGUUUUAAACAUAAAUCCUGUCGCACAAGAGGAGCAGUAUCUUCUUAACACGUUAUUUUUAAUAGAUCCCUUUGCUUCGCAUUCCUUCCCUUUAUCUUCACCUGGCCGGUGUUCCCGUGCAGAUAACUGUCCUCUGAGCUCACAUGUGCCAGAGCUGCCGCUCUUCACCAGGAUGUGACUCUUGCAUGUUUUGCUGGCUGUGUCAUGCAAAAUCACUCCCUUUCCUCUGGAGGAACCGCAUGGCAAUUAAACUUGGAGGCGAUAUCACUGUCCAAGUCCCAGUUUCUUCUCCUCUUUUCCCAUGUUUAACCCUCCUCCUGAGAAAUCUCUCUUUUGAAUUGUGAAUUUCGACCAGGAAAUGAAUUUGAUAGCUCCAUUCUUAAGCAUCAGUCUUUGCCCGGCUGCAGCCAACAUCCUAAUAUUGUGCUCAGAAUAAUGACUAAUACCUCCUGUCUGGCCUAUGUCUUGAAUGAACUAGUAGACAGGCAUGCGUUGCUUUUUCCUAUUCCUGUAUGUAAUCAACCUAGAAAGAAUGUUUUAGAUUUGCUUUUCUUCUGCAAGUUUUGGUGGAAACCCUGAGGAGAUGUAUGAUGGAAUUCAAAUGUAGCAGCUCAAAGAACAUCUUUGCCGUUACUUAUUUGUGGUACGAAGAUGGGUUGGCAGCAUCAGAUAACGUGAUUCCCUGACUGAUCCACACAAUCUUUGGCUUUUUUUAAAUUCUUCCUAUAACUCAAAACAUUGAGUCGUCUUCAUUCUGAAUGAAGAACAUCAUGGCUUUAGAAAUUUAUUUGGUUUAGAUCAUUCAGAUCUUUAUCUUUUCCAAAGGGUCCCGUUUAAAACAAAACGCCAAAUAUAUUUAAUAAACCACAAGUAUUAGUGUAUUUGUGCAUGUCGAGGGUUUAGAUUGCGGGGUGACAAUAAAACCCUGGCAGAUGUAUUGUUAACCUCCUCUUCAACCCCCCUUCCCCCCUCAGUCCCUCCCUCUCCCCCCUUCCCACUCAGCACAGGCGAUCGGGAGGGAAAGAAGGACAGAGAGAAGAGUUGGAAAAAUUGAAAAUGUUUUACUAAUGCUACUAAUAAGAAUAGAGAAAAUAAUACAAAAUGUAUAUACAAAACCAAUCUUGAAAGUCUCAGCAACUGCAGAGCCGGCACCCGAAGUCCUGGACUGGACUCUGCAGCCAACCGGAGCUGGAUUCAGUCUGUGGCUUGGCCUCAGUUUGCAGGGACGACUAGCAAGGUCCUCUCCUAAUGUCGGCCGUAAGCAGAAGGGAUGAAGAAGGGCAAAGAGGGGAAAAAGGGACGGCAUCCUCGUGAUCUCCCACUUUCAUAUGAAGUAUUCACAUGAAUGGAAUGUUAUACACAGUUGGUCAGUUUCUUGGUCACCUGUUUCUCGUUGCCCCUCUGGCGAGAUGUGAAUCUGUGCUUAUCAGUAACUUCACAUUCCAGUGCUAGGUUUACCAAAACAUGUAUCUGGUUCUCCAGGAAAAUGCAGCUAAUAUGAAGCUUUAGCUAACAGGCAAAUUCACUAAAAGAGAAACUUGUUUUUUAACAAAACCAGGACGGUGCAGAAUGGUUUCUACUCCGUACUCUUUCUAGUCCUUUCCUGUCUAGUUCCUCACUUGAAUUCCAUCUAUGUGAGCAUGCGGCUCCAUUACCCUUCUUCAGCUCGUCUGCCAGUAGCUUUUGAGUUAAUUAGCGAGAAGCUGAGAGCAACAGGUUUCAGAUUUUUCAUGCUACAAUCUCUUUUUGGGAAACUCUGCAUUGCAGUCGGAGACAGUAGCAUUUGCCUGAGGGAACUCGGAAAUCUGCUUCACCGUCUUGCUGACCUGCAAAGCUGUUUCUCCCUCUGAUGUUCAUGUAAAUUUUGAUUUCGGAGGAAUUUAACGAGCUUCACCAUCGGCGGUUGCCUCUUCUUGACAGCUGCUCAAGAACAUCGUUUCAAGUGAGCCUGUGAAUUUUGGCACCUGUAGCUGAGUAAGACAAACCCAAUCCUGAUAGCGGCCAACUCACCAGUAAGUCCACUCUGCUGUAUGAACACAGAAUCGCAAAGAAGGUGUUUUGUGUACAUGAAUUCUAUAUCCUAUUCACUGCACAUGGUUGAGGAUGCCUCAGUUACUCCAACAACAGGUUUAUAAAUCAGCGCUCAGUUCUGUGCAGGAUUUCUCAACCGGAACCACUUCCUGGAUAAUAUGAUAAACAGUUCUCUUUUUUUUCUUGUAAAUUAUUUUUAUCUUGUUUCGAAUCUUUCUCAGUUUUGCUGCCACACACACUGGAGACGGAUCUGACAGUUUUGAAGUACAGGAAAACACCUGAGGAUCUGGUAUUUAAAGGCUGUCAAAAGCACUUUAUGGACCACCAGCCAUAAUUUCAACUGUGUAUAUUAUUGCGCAGCUAUUUACAUUAAUCAUACCCCAUGUUCUCUACAGACUGUGCCUUACUGUUCAGGCAACACAUAGAACUCUGUCAGAGUUGGCUUUUUAACAUUUUAUUACUUUUUCAUUAGAUACCGGUGUCAUAAUGGGAUCUGCGUGUCAUUUUUAAACAUACCAAUGAAGUUCUAUUGAGACACUUGAUACUGUCACAAAAACCCGUGUAUAAAAUUCACCCAGUUGAUUCAUGGUUUGAUGGUCCAGUGCGUGAAAUAGAGAUGGGGUUUCUGACCUAACGCAGUGAGUUGCCAUUCUGGUUCCACUGUCUGCACACAAAAGCAUUUAUCAAAAGGGAGUGGAGUCCUUCAGUAUUUAAAAGAGGGCAUCAUAUUAAAAGUGAGUUUAUACCACAAAGUCUUUUUCUCUACUCUUUUCCAUUUUUAGGUCAGAUGAUUCAGGCUUUCCUUGUUGCUUUUAACCUUUUGCCAUCUGAGCGAGCUGCUCAAGAAAAGUGCCGCCUCUGCCAGGAUAAUUCUGUUUCACUGCCUUCCAUAAUAUUUACUCCUAUUUUCUUAUGCCUUUGUUACUAUCUGUUUUUUCUAAGGUAGCAUCCUAGUAAAUAUUCCUGUCAUGUUUUCCUUUCACACAGAAUCACACAGAAUCGACUGGGUUGGAAAAGACCUCAGAGAUCAUCAAGUCCAACCCUUGGUCCAACUCCAGUCCAUUUACUAGAUCAUGGCACUAAGUGCCAUGUCCAAUCUCAGUUUAAAAACCUCCAGGGCCGGUGAGUCCAGCACCUCCCUGGGCAGCCAUUCCAAUGCCUGACCACUCUCUCUGCAAAGAAUUGCUUUCUAAUCUCCAGCCUCAAUUUCCCCUGGCAGAGUUGAAGCCCAUGGCCCCUUGUCCUAUUGCUGACUGCCUGGGAGAAGAGCCCAAUCCCCACCUGGCUAUAACUGCCCUUCAGGUAGUUCUAGAGAGUGCUGAGCUCAGCUCUAAGCCUCCUCUUCUCCAGACUAAACAAGCCCAGCUCCCUCAGCCUCUCCCCAUAGGUCUUGCAUUCAAGCUUUCACCUCUAACAAUUCCCCUCUUCAUAUAGAAGUCCAUGCGUGAGAGAGAAUAAAAAUGGCCCAUAGUUCGUUUAAUCUCCCAGAUUUUCAUGGAAAUGUAGGCUUAAUUGCUGGCAACAGAGCAAAAACCAGUGUUACCGUUUCUCAUUCUCAUUUUACAAAAAUUUCUGUAGCUUGCUGGAUGUUACAUCCUCCUAUUUUGUUCCCCAAAUAAUAAAGUGAGCAUAUGCUUGCGUUUGCUUCCUUUAUGAAAUGCAGAAUCACACAGAAUCCCAGAGUGUCAGGGGUUGGAAGGGCCCUGGAAAGCUCAUCCAGUGCAAUCCCCCCAUGGAGCAGGAACACCCAGAUGAGGUUACACAGGAAGGUGUCCAGGCGGGUUGGAAUGUCUGCACAGAAGGAGACUCCACAACCUCCCUGGGCAGCCUGGGCCAGGCUCUGUCACCCUCAUUGAGAAGUUUCUUCUUAUAUUUCAGAGGAACCUCCUGUGUUCCAGUUUCAACCCAUUACCUCUUGUUCUGUCAUUGGUUGUCACUGAGAAGAGCCUGGCUCCAUCCUCCUGACACUCACCCUUUGUAUAUCUGUAAACAUGAAUGAGGUCACCCCUCAGUCUCCUCCUGUCCAGCUCCAGAGCCCCAGCUCCCUCAGCCUUUCCUCACACGGGAGAUGCUCCACUCCCUUCAGCAUCUUUGUUGCCCUGCGCUGGACUCUCUCCAGCAGUUCCCUGUCCUGCUGGAACUGAGGGGCCACAACUGGACACAAUAUUCCAGGUGUGGUCUCCCCAGGGCAGAGCAGAGGGGCAGGAGAACCUCUCUGACCUACUGACCACCCCCUUCUAAUCCACCCCAGGUACCAUUGGCUUCCUGGCCACAAGGGCCCAGUGCUGGCUCAUGGUCAUCCUGCUGUCCCCAGGACCCCCAGGUCCCUUUCCCCUACACUGCAGGAGAGAGUUUGUAAUGUACUUGUGGACUGUCUUACCUUUUAAGUUUUUAACAUAGAUUUUGAAACAUUUGUAGGAAUGUGUAAGUAUAAAAGGGUGUGUAGAUAAGCAAUAGGUGGCUGGAUUGUUUGGAGAGCGAUUAGAAGAGAGGUGGCUGAAAUAUACUUAAAAAUACCCCACAAAUACAUUUUUGUGGUUCUUGUCCAGUGCAGAAAUUCUGCAUUGAACAGACCUGAAUCAAUUGCUGUGUUUGAAAAGCAGAGGCUAAAUCUUUAUUUUUAAAAUGACUUUCUAGACAUCAAAUAUUCUAUUUUGAACGGAAUAAAUCUGUGAAAGGUGACAGAGUUCUGAGAGAUCCACGUCGAGGUAAAUGAAAGCUGAAUUUGGCCCUUCUCGUUCUGUGCUUUUGAGUCAUGUGAUAAUCUUUCCAUAAAUCAUGCACUUGAAAGGUUUUCUCGCUUCCUGCUUUUACCAAUCGGAUCAUAUAAAAUGCAGAGGAACCGAGCUGCUGGUUUAUAAGCAGAACAACCCCUCUAAAUCCCCUCUUGUCACGCCAGCCCUGUUCCCCCCGUUUGAAAACAAGAUCGCAAGAAUGACAAACUUUGACUAAUAUCAUGGAGUUUUUCGGUCUCCUCCCUUUCCUAUUCUGACCUGUACUUUGCUUUCGUUAUAAAGCGAACAUAGAAAUUACCCUGUGGGAGUGGUGAAACUGCAGCGGAGAAACAAAAACUGUUUGGAUUCAUCUGAGAGCUAUUCAUUCGCUUGCUCUUCUUUUUAUUAACGGCUCGAAGCAGUUUGUCUUGUUCUGACUACGUAUCGCUCAGCGAGAACAGAGGUGACUCAAAGCGGGUGCUCGCAGGCGCCUGCGUCCUGAGCUGGUGGCCACAGCCUUACGAGACGAGUUUUGGAAUUGCCAGCAAAGUCGGGAUUAAGCUCAGGACAUGCCGGUGGCUCUGAGCACUCCCGGGGGAGCGCGGAAGAAGAGGAAAUAAUUCAUAGCGACUCAUCUUUGCGGCGGGGUGAGUCAGGGGGUGCUGUUGGUGGUCAGAAAGGCACGUGGCUGACUCCACCGGCUUUGUGUGCUCUGCAGGAUGCGAGCCGCCUUUGACAAUUAAUUUCUUGCCCUUUUGAUUUUUGCCUGGUGAGUUAUUUCCAGAAAGGACUUACUGUAUUUUCUGGAAUGAGUAUUGCGAUCUUUUUGUUUUUUUACAGUGGGCAAGUUUUCAGCUGGUGAUUUAUCAACAAAGUAUUUUACAGGAUCACGGUUAAAAGCUCUUCUUUAAAAAAAAAAACCCAACACAUCCUGUGCGAUAGGGAAAGUAAAAGCAUCUCUGUUUUCAAAUGAUGAAGGAAUAACCGAAAGAGCUGGUUCUUGGAAUAGUAGCUCCACUGGCACUCGGUGGUGAUUUCCUGUGCAUUUGCUGCAAGAAUCACUCUGUGAUGCGAGUAGGUGGUACUAAAGGGUUAUUACGAAACCGAGUUUUUUUUUCCUUCGACCAGACGUUUUGAGUCAUGGAUCGGGAUAGCAGCUUCAGAGCUUUCUCUUUGUUCGAGCAGCUCUCCUGAAAUGCACAUCCAGGAUAUUCUGCGAUUCUCUGCUCUCACGCAACGAGCAGACCGGGCACAGGGCUGGCGGUGCAUAGAGCGCCCUUCGCUCCGCUCCAUCCCGGCGAUGGGAACCGAGGACGCGGCCCAGAGCGCGCAAGGUGCACGGGGAGCGGGUUCCCGACGCCUUUUGCAUCGUAAGUAUUUUUCUCGUGGUUUUUCCCCCAGACGCGAGAGACAAAAUGGAGUUGGCAUCGGGAUGGAUGUCUGCGCCAAAACGAGGUGGCGAUGGUUUGGAGCGGUUUGGUUCUGGUUUAGGAGGAGAUGGGUUCCCACUGGCCGGAGACAGUUGGCUUCUCCAUCAGAAAAUUAUGAAAGAAAUAGGAGCUGCUUAAGGGAGUUGGUCUGGCUCCUAAACCGGAGGAAUUGUUGACCUACUGACUCAGUUAUGAAGCAUUAGGGAAGCAGUCGUGCUGUGGUUUCUUUUGUUGGUGGCAGAUUCAGAAGACGCCUGCAAGCGUUACGGGUACGAGUAGCAAAAAGAGAUGGUUCUGGUACCUGCUGCCUGUGGGAUUUAUUUUGUGCCAGGAAGGAGCCGAGGUGCUGAGUACUGACUAACACCUUAGAGCUUUAUUUCUGAUGCUUCUCCUGAUAAUGCAUUGGUAAGUUUAUAUGCUUCUCAUUUUCAGUGCUGAGAUGCUAUCUAGCUAAAUGAAAGAAAGCUCUUAAAGAGCUUUUUGAACGUGGGAAGGUGCGUUUGUUUUCUUCACUGCUUUUACAGCAAACACGAGCUGGCCUGCUGCAGUUUCGGAGUCUGGAAAUAAGGGGGAAAACUUUGUCCAUCAGGUCAACAAUUUAAAAUUGCUGUUCCCUCCCACCUUUAACCUGCAAACCUCUGCUAAUGUUGGUACUGAGCAAAGAGGCUGGGCCAGCGUGGGGAUCCUGUCACCCUGCAGUCAUGGCCACACUGUCAUUUUCCUGUUACACUUCACUGAAUGAUGAAUGAGCCUUUGGUCUUCUUGAAUUUCACAUGAAAAUCAGGUGUUCAUCCCUGGAAUUAAAUCUAAUGAUAUUUUUUCUUAAAGUAUGCCUAGAAUAGAAACAGUGUGCUUUUUAAUUGACUCUAAAUCCCAAGGGAAAAAGAAAUCUAUCAAUGGGUGGUUUCUCAGAAGCCUCAAAUCAUUAACAUACUGUUGGCUGAUGGAGCAAGGUCUGGAAAUCGUGAUCCCCGAAUCUCUUGUCAACUCUGCCACUGCUUUUGGGAGGCAUUUUUUUGGAACGGGGCUUCUUGGGCAAGUGAUCAUUUCUUCUUAGUCGCUGAUAGAAUGUGGAUAGUGAUAUUUAACUUUCCGUCAGUGCUUUACCAGCAUUAUCACUACAUUUUCCUUUUAGAAAGCGUGCUGGUGUGUGAUACUGUAGCAUUUCCAGAGCAUUGUUUUGAAUGCAUAGAUUAUUAGAAGAUAGGAAAGGCAGCACAGUGAUUAUUGAAUUUAUCAUGCUCUGUAGGAAUUGUCUUAAACUUCCACCACAAAGGGAAGAAUUCACUGCUGCUUUUCUCCCCUGGGUGCGUAACACAUUCCCAAACCCAUUUUAGUGAAUAUUCCCCCCCCUGCUCUUCCAAAAGAGCAACCGAUGGGGCAGCUGUACCCCACACAUCCCUAUGGAACCGCAAAUAAACACAGCGGUUAAAAAUAAACAAGAAAAACCACACGUUUAGCAUUGCACUAAACAUCCUUAAGUGCUUCCUUUGGAUUUUGGGAGGAGAACUCGAGCGCCGGGUGAUUUUAGUGAGCGGUUGUACCGAAAGAUGUGGGAGGCAGGGUCAGGGAAGAGUCACUUGGUUGUUACGUGGGUGUGAAAAGCCCAUGAAAAGGAAAGGGCCUCUAAACUGUUAACUGUUGAACCUGGCUCGAAUUUCCUCAGGCUCACACUGGAGCAGCCUCAUUUACUAAGAAAUCACAAGCAGGUUGUGUUUGAGGAGAAAGAGUCGUAGAUCUUCAGUUCGUUGUGGUUUAUCCACCUGCGGGACAGGGGAAUCGCUGCUCUUGAAAAUGCCCUGUUUUGGGGAGCGGGUUGCGGUACCUCUAUUGCAGUACACCCAAAAUAAUAGAAGAAACAACAUAUUUCUAAAGCUGAUUUUUUACAUGUAUGUUUGUAGUAUCUCCAUUUCCUUACAGGUUUUAAAACGUCUCCUAAUACGAUGCAGAGAACCUAAAAUACGUGGUGUAGAGGUUACAUUUUUCCACGCUUAUUGUGAUGAUCAUGACCCAAAAUAAAAACCAAAAAGCAGGUUUAACAGCAUUAUCUCUGAAGCAGAAAACUGGUUAUUACAUUAGUGAAGCGCUUGGGGGGGGAACACCACGCAAACAGGAAAGAAAACCAACAAACCCCACUCUCCUUUAUCAUAAAGCUUUUUAAACACAAGCCGUAAAUUACAUCAAAAGAAAACAACACAGUCUGAAAUGAGACGCACACGUGUGUAGUAUGAUGACUUCUACUAAAUCACAGUGCUUGACGUUUUAGCUCUGUGCGGUGUAUUUACAAUGUAGAUUUGGGCUGAUUUCUGAGGGAUUCCCAUGCAGAACUUCCCAGGCGAGAAUUGGUUGGCUUUUUCUUGUUUGUUCUGCACGUGUUUGGAGCUCAGCUCUCUAUGGCCUGUAGCUAUCCCAAUGCAGACUUCGCAGCCCAAGUUUGCAUACAAAAGACGAGCUCAAAAUUGGACCUGGGAAAGAGGAGCGCUUCCUUUUCCACUGCUCUACAACAAUGGCAAUAACACUUUAAAAUUACUUAUUCCUUGAGCCAAAUAAAAAUGCCUGUGUACUGGCAACAUGAGGUAUGAAUAGAAGCCACGCUCAUCUGUGCGUUUUCAGGGUACAGUUGUAUGCCACCCUUAUAAAGCACAUUUGAAAAAUAAGUAGCGGUAACUCUACUGUACAUGUUGUAGUUUUUCUAACUUGGGAAGGUCCUAACAUCAACACUGGAGUAUCUUUGUUGCUCCAGGAAGAUCAGAGAUGAACUCAAAAGCUCAGAUGUGGUCCAGAAGUCCAGUGCUUACUUCCUCCUACUUUUUAGUUUAGUAUUUAAACGUGGUCCGAAGUAUGGCUACUCCACUGUGCCACUGUGUCUCUGUUCAUGCUGGGUGACAUAGUCUAAGGUACAAAAAAUUUGGAAUGAAGUGGAAAAUAAUCUAGGAAUAUUGAGUGUGGUUUACAGUGGGAGGAAAAGGAGUGUUAUUUAGGGAUUCAUAUACUGCCGCCGAGGGAGCGACGGAGAGAAGGAUGGAAGAGCCUGCAGGGUCUAUGCCCAACCCCAGCUGGGGGCCUGGUAAGAUCCCACCACAGCCUCUUUCCAUCUGAUUCUCUUAAUUCCCAAUUCUCUUGCUUCCCAUAUAUUUUGCAAGCUCUGGGCAGCGCUGUGGCUUUUGGGGUUCACCGCUACGGUAAAUGGACACUAGCGGGUGUUCUUAACUUCUAAUCCAAGUCUGGCCACCUGAAUUGUGACUUCGAAGGACCUCAGCGACUACUGAAAUUCCCCAUAUGACCUGUUAUUACAGGCUCCUGGGAGAGCUUAUAUGCAGCUUUAUUGCCAAAACAUGAGGUUGGCAGGAGUGAGUCAUAACUGAAGAUCUCAGCUUUGCUCUUUCAUUUACUUUUAUCCACUAAAAAUAAAAAUAUUUCCAAGAAUACAGGUAGGCAGAUGCUGUUCUCCUGUUAGGGCAGAGCUCUCACUGGCUCUCAAGUGUAUUUGCACAGCUCAUAGGUUCUAUUUUUCAAGCUUUAGUAUAAAAAGAGCCGUCUAUACAUUUUAUCUAAUCUACAGCACAGUAGGAGUGAGCAAUUCCUGGAGAAGGGACCAGAAUAUAGGGUUCUACCCCUUUUCCUUAUCUUCUGUGGACAUGUUUUUGGAUUACUGUGAUUUUUACGUAUCGUCUUGUAGUUGUUUUAGUGUGACCAGAGUGAGGUUUCGCAUGCGUUUUCAACUCUUGACUUCAAUGGUUGUCGCUCAUGACCAUGUUGGCUUUGGGUUGAGCCACCUCAGUUUGCUGAUCUGAUUAAAAACUAGAUUCUUUGGCUUCUCCCUUGCUUUUCUUUUGGGAAAAUUCAAACUGUUCCAGCUCAGUAAAUGGAAAAAUAGCAGGAUCUCAUGGUGACAAACAGAGGAGGUGGGACCAUCCCUUUCAGUGACACCUGCAUGAAGUUCAGUUCAACCCAUUCAGAAUAACUCAUCUCCCCAUCUCUUAAUCACAGUGGAGCUCAAGCAAGACCUAAUUUCACCUUGUUCUCCAAAACAAGCUUUUUAUUCUUCCCUGUUUUCCUUUGGCAUCUGGAUUUUAAGUCUCUACAUUUAACUUAAGCAUCUGUGUAGACUGAGUAGUCAACGUCAUCCUUUUAUAUUUCUGUUUUCGGAGCUUAAGUAUUUAAGAGUAGGAUUAAUAACGUAUGGUGGCAAAGAGGAGACCAUCCCUUACUAAAAUUUCUAAUCAUCCAUGUAAAUAAGUAAUACAGAAAUAAUAUUUAUAGAGCCUUUCGUGGCAUUUAUCUCAUUCUUAUCAUCUGUUUUUUUCGUACAUGUGCUUUAAACAUCAAAAGGUUUGUUUGUGCCAUAUGUCUUUUUGCGCCGUCUUCUUGCUGCGUGCGCGCUUACCUAAUAACUUGCAAACAGCAAACAAAGCACAUGAUCUGAGCAACAAGCUGGUAUUUUACCCUAAGGGAGGAUUUUCUCAGCGCACAAAUCAAGUGUAAAUAGUGCAAAAUGCCGUAUAGUAUAGAACCAACCACACUAAACGCUUCUUUGCGUGUAUGAGUGAAGCUAUUUGCAUGCGUGAAUGUUGACAGAGUUGAACUCUGUAUUAUCAAAUCCUCUUGUCAAAAGUUGACCCCGGGGGCGUUUUGCGAGAAAGAUGAUGAUUGUCUCUUUAAUUACUUAAACUCUGUUUUGCCUGUUUGGGAGAGCUCCCCACAACUCUGUAAUUACCGCCCGCCUGCCAUUCAGAUCAGGCUCUGCUGGCACCGUACCGCGGGACUUUGGACGGGAGCGGCUGCAACAUCCAGGAGCUCCUUUUAAUUGAACGCUUUGAUUAUCGCACAAUAAUCAGGCGAUUGAGUUGCUGCAACAGUUUGCCAGCCCUGUGCUAAGCGCUUCUACGGAAUUACGGAAUCAGAGAUGGAAGAGAUGGAAAGUUCAUUACAUCACCCAGACCAAAUUCUUGCCAGUACAUGUUUUCUGCUACAUUAUUUUGGUUUUUAUUCUGUGGUUUAUGGCUACAGAUACUCUAAGAACUUGGCCUUCCACUUGGUUCUUCCGGAGUCUUUUCCAUCACGUUUGAUGGCGAGAUUUUUCUUUGGCCUAAACUUUUCCAUUUCUUUGUUUCACCAUAUUAUUUCGAGUCUGCGUUCUCAUCUUUCAGUAAUCCUCUCUGGGGUGUUAACUGCCUCUAAAUAUGAGCGGAAUGGUAUUACUCUUGAAUAUUAGAUGUAUCACGUCCUUUAAGUGCUGCAUACUCAAUUCUUCAGGAUUUGGGAAAGUUACACUGAUUGAAGAUAAGCUUUUAAACUGAACUGCUAAUAGGAUAAUUUCUCGGACGCGUAUUUUAUUCCGGUGUAUGAGUUCUGGCAUCACUUAAGAAAUAGUUGAAAAUUACCUGAAAAGGCCAAUUUUACUCAGAAAUGAAAACGUUUUUAUAUGGGGGAGUUAUGCCAGUGUAUCUUUAAUGAUUUUUAACUCUAUUGUGGGAAGUGAUAUGCGCAGGCAAGUCUGCAAAGGGCAUUACGGGGAGAAUUUAAACAUUGUGGUUUCCAUUAGUGACAGAAACAGUGGAAGUUGUAGUAUUUUGAGUUUUCUUUCCCCCCCCCCUCAGCCUUCCAAUAUCCUUUAUUUUUCUCAAUGUUUCUUCACUUCAUAACUAUUGCUUCUUUUUAUAGUUUCACUUGUUUUGGUGGCAUUUGAGGGUUUCUUGUUUGUUGUUUCUACUUCAGGGCUUGGCCUUCGCUACCAGAAGCCCCAGGCACCCAAGCAGGGUUGUCUCCAAGUUUUCCAUUGUCUCGACCACAAAGAUUGAGAUCGAUAUCCCCACAAAACAAAUACUCUGUGACCAUAAAGACAAAUGGACAUUGGUUUUGCCCCAUGAGAGACAGGAGCCUGAUGGACCUUUGGUUGUUAAACUGUCUCCUUAAAGCUCAAUACAGAGCAGGGAUGUUGAUGAGAGAGGCGAGGACAAGCGUAUCGUAGGAGGUAAAAUUACUACUAGUGAGUGGAUUGAAGGUGUUUGAGGAUCAGGUUGUGUAACCGAAUGGGGAGAUGAAUGAAAACCAUAUAAAUGGGUGGGUUAGCGUGUGAGUAAGAGACAAUGCGAGUGGGCGGGUAACGAGACAGGCAAGUGAGAAAGGAGGGAGGAGUGGGUGAGUAGAUGGGUAGGUAUGUAGCGAAGAAGUUGAAACAGCAUUAUGAGCCAGCUCUUGUGAUACCUGAAAAUCUGGUACCAACUCAAUAAUCCCCAUUGGGACGUGCAGAAGGGACCAACAACCAGCGCUGGUGCAGGGACUGGAGGCUGAGCAUCAGCCCAUCGGGACCUCUGUUGCUUUCCAGCUCGUUGGAUGGAGCAUCAUUUACUCUCCUUAAACUUCCCUGAGUCUGUGCAAUGAACAAUAAUCUUCACCUUGGUCAGACAGUUGUAUUUUGCUACUGUUCCUGCAGAAAAAAUAUAAGACUGUAAUUAUAAUUUCAGCUCUGGUGAAGUUACAGAGAAAGAGAAGCACAACAGAAACUUCUUGUACUUUGUAUUCCCAAGAACUGCAGGUGGGAGGACAAAUAAAAGGUAUGAAGAUGAGGGAUACGCUGGAUUUACAAAUACACAUCAGCAAAAAGGCAUCUCCCAAAUUUGAAGAUCCUUUCAUUUUAACGAAUCAGGCGGGAAGGUAAAGUAACUUUAAAUCAUUAUCAUCAAACCUUGACUGACGGGGCUUUUAUUAGGAUAUUCCACUAUAACUGCUGAAGGCUGGACAUAGUUCACCGCGACUAAUACGUAACUGUUUUUAAUUUACCAUGGCAGAGUUACAGCCCCAGCUGUGACCUCUCUAGUCGGGUACAGUCAGGCUAUUGUUCAAAAUAAUGGCUUUACUAUCUUGUUAAGUUAUAUUAAGCUGUGCGUGGUACAUUUUCAAUAUUUAUUGUAACAGAGCAAGUCCUUUUGAAGCCCAGAUAGAGGUGAAUGACCACUGCAGGAAGUUACAAGCUUCAGUUAGCUGCCAAAAAGGUGUAUAUUUACUAAAAAACAACUAAUACGUGGUUUUAUACUCAAAAAUCCUUGAGUCCCUUCAAGUUUUUCAUCCAGUAGCUGGCCAGCAUGAGAGAUUUCCCUUGUUAGACCUAUUUUUUGAUGAAAACUACUUUUUUUUUGUCUGCAUGUGAAGUUGGCAGCAGGAUGAAGACCUGGUCUAUGGAGCAACCUGCUGGAAGGAGCAUUUUAACCCCGCGCUCGCCGUUGUGUCGUCCAUGGGCGGUUUUGGCUCAGGUUGCAUCACUCACACGCAGAAUCCCAGAGUGUCAGGGGUUGGAAGGGACCUGGAAAGCUCAUCCAGUGCAAUCCCCCCAUGGAGCAGGAACACCCAGAUGAGGUUACACAGGAAGGUGUCCAGGCGGGUUGGAAUGUCUGCAGAGAAGGAGACUCCACAACCCCCCUGGGCAGCCUGGGCCAGGCUCUGCCACCCUCACUGGGAAGAAGUUUGUUCUCAAAUUUAAGUGGAACCUCUUGUGUUCCAGUUUGCACCCACUGCCCCUUGUCCUGUCAUUGGUUGUCACCAAAAAGAGCCUGGCUCCAUCCUCCUGACACUCACACUUUACAUAUCUGUAAACAUGAAUGAGGUCACCCCUCAGUCUCCUCUUGUCCAGCUCCAGAGCCCCAGCUCCCUCAGCCUUUCCUCACACGGGAGAUGCUCCACUCCCUUCAGCAUCUUUGUUGCCCUGCGCUGGACUCUCUCCAGCAGUUCCCUGUCCUGCUGGAACUGAGGGGCCACAACUGGACACAAUAUUCCAGGUGUGGUCUCCCCAGCGCAGAGCAGAGGGGCAGGAGAACCUCUCUGACCUACUGACCACCCCCUUCUAACCCACCCCAGGUACCAUUGGCUUCCUGGCCACAAGGGCCCAGUGCUGGCUCAUGGUCACCCUGCUGUCCCCAGGACCCCCAGCUCCCUCUCCCCUACGCUGCUCUCUGACAGAUCAUUCCCCAACUUAUACUGGAACCUGGGGUUGUUCCUGCCCAGAUUCAAGACUCUACACUUUCCCCUUGUUAUAUUUCAUUAAAUUUCCCCCCCCCCAGCUCUCCAGCCUGUCCAGGUCUCUGAUGGCAGCACAGCUUCCAGUGUCACCACUCCUCCCAGCUUGGUGUCAUCACACAGAACGUCAGGGAUUGGAAGGGACCUCGAAAGAUCAUCUAGUCCAAACCUGCUGAAAGAUCGUCAGCAAACCUGCUGAUAGUACACUCAGGAUAGUUGCGUUUUUUAUGGUUCCAUGGGUGUCUGAAAAAUCCGUCAGGGUUUGCUAACUUUUAAAAGUAUGCCUAAGCGGUGAGUGAAAUCUUUCUCAUCUUUGAAUGGGGUCACCUGUUGCAAACUAAAUUUCCUAUAAAUCUUGCAACUGUAGCCAAGCCAGCAGCGUUUACACUUUUUAAUCUGAAACUGCACUUAGGCAGAUGUUUCUUAAUGUUAAACCAGAGCAGAUCUCUUUGGUGGUGUUAAAAUGCUGUGGUAACUGCGGAGUGAGGCGCAGAGGAAUGUGUGGGUAUGUUGAAUCCGAGCCUUUUGGGUUGUAGAUCUGUCAGAGCCCCAAAUUUGCAUUUCUUACAUAAGCAGAAAUCCCAGUAGUGUUUCCACGUGCUUUGGGAACUGCGGGAAUGGAAUUGCUAUAUAAAACCUUGCUUUUAUUUGCUAUCUGUGAAAUCGCAGGGACACUUAAAAUAUUUACAGUUUCAACCCAAACUAGAAGUUUGUUUCCUUUUACCUUUGAUACUCAAACCUACCGCAGUGGUCGCUCAGACCAUCCCGCAGCCUCCAUGGAGCUGCGGACAGUUACAAGAUCCUGAGAAUACACAGGAAUUAAAACCUUGACGUUUCCCCUCUUGUUUAAUUAAUUGUUUGCUUUUGGCGGUGGCAAGGUUACAAAACAUUUGUAAUAAGCCUGCUUCGUCUUUUGCUGGUUUUUUCCAUAUGGGUGUGUGCUUCCUUUUCAUUAUGUUGUUUUUCUUUCCUUUUUUUUUUUAAAAGCACAACCACUGCUUUCAUUUUAACAGUAAGAAAUGAGCUUCUCGCCGAGCAGGAAAGAAAAGUUUCAUAAACACUGCAAUUCUGAUCCUUCUAAUCCUUUAUUACCUGUAGGGGCAGGUGCAGGAACCUACCACAGGAGAGAUUUCUUAACUUUUUCCAGCCUUGGGAUUACACAAUGGAGCGGUAGAUUUUAGACGCUACGGAGAAAACUCAGAACAACAUGGUCGAAAGGUGCGUUGCUCAGAAAUACAAUAUAUCCCUUUUGUUUGGCUUAUAUUUAGUUCUGCCCUGUAGAGUUCUGAGCCCUCCAGCCAGCAUUUUAAACACAAAAUAGAAAUAGGCUGAAAUGCGCACGUAUUAUCUUGUUUCCUGCUGAUGUAAAAGAGGUUUUAUUUCUGGAGAUAGUGUCUUCUAAUACUUGUGUUACCUGGACUAGUUCUGUUUGCUUGUUACUCAAGAGAAAGUGAAGGGAGCCACUUGGUCUCAGUAAAAUCAAAGUAAUUCGUGCUGUUUGCAUUAUUGGCUGUAAUGCUGAGAGGGAAACAACCAGACAGCUUAAAGAACUUAGAUUUGGUUUGUUUUUUCAGCAUUCUGCAAUGCUGAAGUAAGGGUAGGGCAAGGAGGGUGGUAAGAAGUGCAUCACCCAUCCCUUGUGAUCCUGUGGUUUCGUCUGAAUCUUGUUCCUUUUUGCUCCCUACGAUCAGCCACGUGUUUCAAUGGUGAUCGCUGCCCUAAGACUGUCGCUGCAUGCGGGAUGUCUCAUUUGCCUCAUGUUAAAAAUAUCUGUGUGUAAUAAUGUUUUUAUAGUCCUUCCCAUGUGGAAUAUUUGUCAUACACCUUUCUAUAAAGAUUCAUGCCACCCCUUUCCCAUAUUACUCUGUUUUGUGGAUGGAGAUUCCUGUGCAAGGACUUGUCAGUGUACAGUUUGGUCUGAAAAACAGUUCAAAGCGCCUUAUUGUUUAUUGCUAGAAAUAAGUUCUCACUAUUUUUCUGUCUUGCUCAAUCUAGUAGCACCAAUACACUUGUUAAAGAAUAAUCUGUCUGCUUAAAGACGUUAAGGUUUAUUAACCAGCAGAAAUGCUAACGAGCUAACGUGUAGUGAUGGAUCUGAGAAGCUUCUUCCACUGAUCAUUCAGGAGAUACCUGGAAACUUUUAAGGUUUGGGUCUAAAAUUGUAUGUGCAAAUCAUAACCAUAUCAUAAGGGGCGAAUUUCUGUCCAAAUUUGUCUCAAAAUGGUAUGUCCAUUAAAAGGUAUUGUCGUGCUGCCAUUUACAUUACCCAGGCCACCUUCCUUCUUGAAUGAACUUAAUGAAAUUGUGUCAAAGAGUGGGAUAACUACAAUGUGAAAUAACUGGAGAUUAGCAUUUUCAUUCUCAAAUAAUGGGUAUUGCUGCAUAAGCAGUAUUACAAAUAAAAUAGAACAAAAGCAGCUUUAUGUGUUAGCAUGACUUUGGAAAAGGGACAAUGAAUUGCUGCUUUUACAACAUGUAGGAAAAUGAGCUUCUGAGCUGUUUCUGUACUUCAGAUAUAUUUACUGAUACGUCCUGAUUAAUACGUUUCCAUUUUAAGUGUAUAACCCUCCUUUAAAAGACCAGAUUUCCCGAGUGCCAAGCAGCAGACGGGCCCUAUGUGCUUAAUUCCAGCUGGCAGUGACACCUUCUGGAUGCUGAGCACUUGGAAAAUUUCACCUGUCAUAUGAAUCAGUGAUUGAAAAUGGAGUUGUUCGCAGAGCCUGGUGUGAUCCACGGUCAGCAGUGUCAUAAUAGGAGAAAACAGUCCAAAUGUGCUGUCUCGAAGGCGUGUUCUCUGAACUGUCAUAAAACAUUAUAUUUUCAAAUUGCUUUUAAAACGCGAUGAUGCAAAUUUGCACACUCUCUGCAGAUUUGACCUGUAUUUAUAUCUACACAGAAUCACCGAACAUUAGGGAGUGGAAGGGACCUCCAAAGAUCAUCUAGACACGUUUGUAAGAAGCCCAUAAAAUUAUUUCCGUAUUGUUUUCCGUAAAUCUCCAGUUUAUUAUUCUGAGAAAAACGCAUCUGCAGCGUGCACGAUCUGGCUUUCUGAUAUGCAGAUGCACAGCCCUGCCUAUCUACUUAAAUCAGUGUAGCAAGCGCGUUUACAAACUAUGUGACAAUGUACAGCCUCCUAUCUGCGAAGCAGAUCAGACUGAAAUUGGGACUCUGUCCAAAAAAGUUAAAUACUGCAAUCAAUCUACUUACUGUGUCAGCACUCGGAUUUGUUUCUGUUCUAUGCUGCAGGGAAAGGAAGUGGAAAAUACACGUUAGCAUCCCAAAAAGGAUUCCUGAGCCGCGGAGGAGGCAUUGUUAAUAGGAGCUGCUUAAAAGUUCCCGUUUUUGCAGGGGUAAAUAGAUGAUGAAGUGGAUGUUCUAAGCCUGUGCGACACGAGGGAAGUCACGACGUGACACUACGGAUGCCACGUGACUUCCCUGUUUAUACUCAGCCCGGCUGCAAGUGUCUGUGAAACAGCGGUGACAGAACGAUCUGCUUGUGUCUCGGCAUCCUCAGCCUUUAGAGCCGCCCUUGGGUACCAGCGGGGAUUUGUGGAGUUCAGUCCCUCAGAAAACCUUAAUUUAAACGCUGAUGCGUUCACACUGGGUUGAUCUCCUGCUUCACAACGUGUGUUUCCUUCCCUUCCGCACACCCCACCUCUAUUUUCAGCUGCUGGCUGCAACCUCUCGAGCAUCCUCAUUGAGCAUCAUCAUCAUCAUCGGCUCCUCGGGUAGGCAGGUGGGCUUCAUGGCAUGAUUCCACUUAACCCUCUUCUUUCCAGUUCCCAUCUUAACUUAACUUAACCAUUCUGCCCUAAAAUUUGCUUCAUUUCAAGAAAAUCGUUCACCUACCCUACUGGGAGAGGACGACCCGUGCGCCCAUGAGAUGCUGUGGGCAGCGCCCAAGCGCAUAGGCUGUGCUACAUAACAGCAGGGUCGCUCCGGGGUUAUAACAGUAAAUCUAUAUAAAGGUAAUCGCACUUCAGAAGCGAUUUAAGGAGCCGGGUUUCUGAGCAAAAGCCAAUUGCUAAGGUUUAAUCUGCACCCCAAAGCUCUGCUGGUAAAUCUGAUUUGGCAGCUUUGGUAGAGACACCAAUAUAAAGGCAUCUUUCCUGAUAAAAAGCAGUGGGACUUUUAAUGUCCACAACAAAAAUAAAAGCAUUUUAAAGGGGUUUUAAACUUAUUAUUAGACCAAUCGAUGUGCAGCAGGCUACGUGGGUCUGAUUUGGCUCUGAUGCAGAGGUCGGACAGCAUCCUACACGUGCACAUGUGUCUGCAAGUGCACAAAGAUGGAUGCAACUGUCUGCACUUUGGUGUCUGGUGACUGUGAGACACUUCAGGUUACACCUGGGACAUAUUUACAGGGCUGGCGGGUACAGAAUAAGUUCUGGGAGUUGUAGGUGAGCCAGGCAGGGUAUUCAACAUCACCAAAAAUAACAGGAGGCACAGGUGCUGUGUUCAGGCUACUAGAUCUUCAUGCAAGUAUCCAUUGUAAUUGCUGGAGAUGCAUUUUAUUGCUGAGAAUGAUUCUGCUCACCCAGCAGAAGACGCUUUAUACUUGAUGGGCUGAAAUGCUGUCCAGAUGCUAUGGAUCUCUAAUGGUUCAACCACUCGUUUUGCCUCUGACACAGAAGGUGAAACAAAUCUGAAUAAUAAGUAGUUUGAAAUAUAAACCAGUUCAUGUGAACGGCUCAGAAUCUGUAACAGUCAAUUGAGAUGCAAAGAAACUUAAUCUUUUUAUGCAGCUGGAACACUUUGCAGAAGAAAAUCAUGAGUCUCAAAGCAAGUAACUUUUCAUGGGUGUGAUUACAGCUUUUUGCUUACACUUCCCAUAUACGUUUCAGUGUCGUAAGCACAUUUAUUUACCCAUUAAGCAUUUUUAAUAGUCUUUUGCCAUGGCUAACUAGUAGAGCAUUGAGUAGUUCUUUUAGUGAAGUAGGGGACAAUUUAUAAUUUUGCCCAAAAUACUACACCUAAAAAAAAUGGGAUUUUUGUUCUUAAUUACUGGACUCUUUCUUUUAGCAUGUCUUGGUUUAAAACAAAACAUCAACAAGCCCAUUGUGAUGCUUUUGAUUAGGCUUCGAGAGGGAUAAUAAAAGUAUAGUGUCCCUUUGUGAAAGGCGUUUUUAAUUAUCGUUAAUUGUACUUCCUCGCUUCAUUUCUGAAGGAAAAGGGAGGUGACCUCAUCCUGAGAGCUGUCUGUCCGAUGCUGGUGUCAUUCCCCGCCUGGAAAAGAGGUUAUUUUUUUGUUUCUUGUUGUUUUGUUUGUUUUAAUGAGGAUCUAUCAGCUGGCCUGACGGGCCCUGCGGCUUUGGAAACACUGUCCAGACUCUGAGCACCAUGCGUGUUUCUGAAAUGUCGAGCUACAGACUUGUGGUCUUUGUGCUGUGGUAACGUCUCUGACAGCAGCCGGUACCAGAGACUUCGGUGAUGGGAGCCCUUGGAGGGGAUGGUGCCCUUGUGGCCAACAAGGCCAAUGGUACCCGGGGUGCAUUAGGAAAAGUGUGACCAGCAGGUCAAGGGAGGUUGUUCCUCCCCCUCUGCUGUGCCCUGGUGAGGCCACAUCUGGAGUUCAGUGUCCAGUUCUGGGCUCCCCAGUGUAAGAAGGACAAGGAAUUACUGGAGGGAGUGCAGCGGUGAGACACAAAGAUGCUGAGGGGUCUGGAGCAUCUUCCUGAUGUGGAGAGACUGAGAGAGCUGGGGCUGUUCAGCUGGAGAAGAGAAGCUGAGAGGGGAUCUCAAUGUUGAUAGAUGUAUCCAGGGUGGGUGUCAGAGGAUGGACCAGACUCUGUUCAGUGGUGCCCAGUGACAGGAUGAGGGGCAACGGGCACAGACUGAAGCACAGGAGGUUCCGUCUGAAUAUGAGGAGAAACUUCUUUCCUCUGAGGUGCCAGAGCCUGGCCCAGGCUGCCCAGAGAGGUUGUGGAGUCUCCUUCUCUGGAGACAUUCAAACCCACCUGGACACCUUCCUGUGUGAUCUGCUCUGGUGACCCUGCGUUAGCAGGUGGGUUGGACUGGGUGAUCUCCAGAGGUCCCUUCCAACCCAACCAUCCUGUGAUUCUGUGAUUUGAGGGCUCAUUCCUCCUCUUUCAUACUAACCGAUCAAAUACUCAUGGAUGUUUUCAUUAUCUAUCCAAAAACUUGAUUUCUUACCCCUUCCCAGGCCUUUGGCUUUGGCAUAUUCUCCUGAGGUCCACGCUUUAUCUGUGCUUUGCAUUUAAACAAAUGCAAAGAGAUUCCCUCACCCUUUAUGCUGCAAACCGAGCAGGGCAGUGGUGGCUUCAUGAGUGUUUGUGUGGGUGCCAGCGUGUUGGGACCGAUCAAUAUUCAAUUGUAACUGUAAUGAAAAUGCCUAAAUAUUUAUAAUGGUUUUAGUUUUUGAAUGUCUCCAUAUGUCAGAAGGAUGAAUAGGAGUACUUUUUGUCUCUCUUCACUAUUCUGUAUUUCUUAAGAUGUUACCUUGUCUUGCCUUACGUGAACCUUCUCUGAAAUGCCCUGAACUUUUCAGUUCUGUUUCAAUUCAUCCAGCGCCAUCUGCCGCAGUGUCUGCUGUGUAUUUCAGUCCGGACGAAAAUUCCCGUUUCUCAUCGGUACCUCCGCACUCUUUCAUAAAGGUGAUGUGACAAGCUAAGCUCACAAGUUGUUCCCACCUUUGUUGCCAAUUAUAUAUCAAUGUGAAGAGGCAGAUUUUAACAAGCUGUGUCCUUAGAGGUGUUUGAAUACCCAACUCGCAGCGAGGCUCAUGGGGCUCUGCGCUGGGGUUUCUGCUCGACUUCUGUUCAGGCAAAAAGUCUCUCAUUGACUUUGAUCACUUUAUUUUUUUAAAUUGUAGAUCUCAGGUCAUAGAAUAGUUUGGGUUGAAGGGACCUGCAAAGCUCAUCCAGUGCCCCCCCUGCCAUGAGCAGGGACAUCUUCACCAGCUCAGGUUGCUCAGAGCCCCGUCCAGCCUGGCCUGGGAUGUCUCCAGGGAUGGUUCAUCUACCACCUCUCUGGGCAACCUGGGCCAGGCUCUCACCACCCUCAUCAUAAAGAAUUUCUUCCUUAUGUCUAUCCUGAGUCUCCUCUCCUUUAGUUUAAAACCUUCACCAUUUCUGUCUCAGAUAUGUAUUUAAAGCUGCUGAUUCUUCCUUGGUAUCAAAACCUUUGACUUGGAGAUGGAUGGAGAGCAGAGUGCCAGCAGUUCCCUCUGUGAGGGAAGAAGCAUUCAGCUGUUUUAUUUUCUAGCCAUGGCCUGGAGAAAUCCGAGAGGUCACUGACCUCUGUACGUUUAAUGGGUCUCCUCACUGCUUUGCCAAAUGUGUUGGGAACUGUGGUCUGGAGCUCCCGGUUUAUCUCAUUCCUUUGCUAUCUGCUGCUCAUUAGAAGACAGAAUUAAAAUCUCAGCGGUGGGAGAUGUUAGGGCUGUCUGAAAUGGUUUUCAGUCUGUGGCCCUGAAAUCCUCUUCAGGCCAAAAGAGCAGAAGUUUUCCUGACGUAAACCACAUUUUUCAGUAAAAACACUGAACUCAGCUCACCCGAAACUGACUUUAUUCGGUCCUUUCUUUGCUAUCUAUAGCAUGGGGAUUACAAUAGCAUCUUAAAGAAUUGUUCAGAAGACGACGGUAGUUUGUUAGCAUUUCUGCAGUCUUACCAAAAUAUAUGUUAAAUAUAAAUAUUCUCAAACCUGUUAAUUUCUCAGGGUUGAGUUUGGUAUCCUGUUCUGCUCUGGGUUUUUUUUCCUUUGUGUUUUUAAAGAUGUGUUCUCAUCUUUGCUGCGUAUAUUCUCCAGAUCUGAGUUACCGUACGAGAUACUCUGCAUGCUGGUGGUGGAAACAAAGAGAUGUUGGUACUAUUUAGUUUCUGAAUUGCUGGGUACCGUGUUGGGUAGGAAGCAACAUCUGUAUCAGCAGUGAGUACCAGCUUUUCUAUCCUGAAGAAGAAAGGCAGGAUGUGGAAAUGUCUCUCAUUUACAUGAACUACUGUAGAAAUUGAGGCCUUCCAGAUAAUUCCUUGAACCAUCUGCAUGUUGUUAUAGUUUGACUCCCAGAUUUUCAAAAUGGGGUAAAGAACCUGUUAUCAACAGCGAAGGCGCUUUAGAAACCUACCUCUGCUUAGGAGAGGGAUUCCUUAACACAAUUCUGCCCCGUGGGGAGCGUAAAACAAAACUGCAUUCCCACCUUCGGGCUGAGUAUCUUGUUUCCCUACAGGGGACCAUUAUUUAUUUUCAAGUGCGGGAGGAACAUCAAGCUGCUGUUCUCAUCUCCCCAAGCUCCACCAGCCCGCUUUUCGGCACUGGGCGCCACAAGCGUUCGCCACGACGACAAGAGAUGGACCCGGGACAGAAGUAGCGCGGCUCCUUCUCCCCCUGCCACGUGAGCCUUUGAUAGUGGAUUUCAGAGACAUACACUUCACGUGGGCUCUUGUUUUAAAAAAUAAACCGGCUUGCGGCUACCCCGGGGCAAAAAUCAAUGACCGCAAGAAUACCAGAGGAUUGAGCAACGUGCUAAGGGCAUGUUGUUUCCUUUAAGGAUUCUGACUAUAAAUGACGUCACUUAGAUAAUUUGGAUGUUUGCGAGCGCUACAGGGCUUGGAAAGGGAAAGCGAAUCGGAAAAACAUUGGGAAGCUGAACAAUUUGUUUUGUUUUAUGGCUCCCUGGUAGUUUAAUGAGGGAGCUAUUACUCAUGCACUGUCACUGCGCAUCUAGAAAAUUCCUCUGGGUUCAAAAACUGGCAGGAAAAAGUCGUUUCCUAAAAACCGCUGAAUUAAUGAGAUAAAGCCCAUUGCUCUGGAGUCCCUCACAGGGAGGAUAGGAGGCAGAGCUGUGCAGGACUCGCGGUGUGUUGGAAAUGUUCCCCGCAGGGUGUUUCAAACAGCAGAUAGUGCUUCAGAGAAGGGAUGCAGAAGACAUGCUCAGCAUCCCUCUUUUAGGAUAUAGUACUAUAGAUUUGGGGAGACAAAAAUACUAGUUUGAUUGGGGCAUCAUAGUUCUCCCCCUCCAUUCCCUUGCAUCUGAAAAUAUCUGAAACUGGAGUAUUGGACUCCUCCUAAAGCCAUGACAUUUAACAAAAGGUUUUCUUACUCAUGGGCAGUGGUACAAGGCAUUAUAUUAGUAAUAUUGGCACUUGAAGUGAGGGAGAUGCACUUAAGGAGAAGAAAAAUGUCUAUUUGUUGUGUGGGCUUAAUUAUGCAGCUUUAAAUGAACUGUCACAGUUUUAUAAUCUGUUUUCCCCUAUCUGGCAGGCUUCUGGCUUCCUGCGUCGUGUCUGCGUUAUUUUAUACAUCUGUACAGCGCGAUUUGCGUAUUUACCUUGGUUAUUUUAGGUAUUUUAGCCUAUCUCGUCCUGUCCAUACAAGACACACGUUAUCCUCGUUUUAACUGAAAACCUAAUACAACUUUUAUGGCACUUGAGUGCAGCAUGAGCGCAGUUUCAGUUUGAUGUUUUGGAGUAAACAGAGAACUCAUCCAGUCUGGAAAUACGAGUAAAUAUAACAUAUUCCUCACCAACCCCCUGACAGAAUUACUGCCUUGUAGCAUAAGUUACUGUGGUUUCCUCUGCAAAAAAUGCAGAUAAAGCAGGGGCUGUAAGGAGGGAAAUCCAUAAGGAGUCUGUAAAGUCUAAUUUAACUAUUAGUAAUAAAAUUAACAAGCCACUGUAACAUUUCUGCUGCAGUUUGUCUUAAACUGUGAUGCCUCAAACACAAAUGUAGUCAUUCCCUAUUCUUAUUUUGGUACUAAACCGUAGUCUGGAUCAAUUUUGUCUUCUCUGUCUCUUCUUCUUCCUGUCCUUGUAAGAAUUUCCUAAAUUCUUUUAAUUAUCAUUUUUCUUUUGCCAAUACACAAACUUUAAUCCAGAAUAUUGUGAUUUUCCAUGGAAAUACAGAAGUAGCAGCUGAAAGGUUGUGUAUGUUAAGCUUCAGAUUAAAGAGGCGCUUAACUGUGUCCCCUUGUAUACGUGACAUCCGCUGUCUUUUGAAAUACCCAAUACUGAGCUGGUUUUGAUUUUGAUUUUUUAGAUUUUAUUUUAAAUCACAUAGAUGCCCAGUUUAUGCCUCGGAGCUGGAUUUUUGCCCUUGGGUGUGGAACUCGCUGCCUGGGCCAGGAUUAGGAAAUAAUUCCUCCAUCUGCUGUGAAAAAGUCUUGGAUCACAGAGCGGAGCUCAUUUUUCAGCAGGAUGGGAAUGGGACGGAAUGAGAGCAAAAAGGCUGAGGGAAUGUUUCUGGUAUGGUGAAGAAUGGCCGGGGUGUGGGUGGGAUGUACUUGUCGUUAUUUCAGAAUCAAAAUAACCAGGAGAGACACUUUGAAGGGACCUUGUUUGUGAGCAUCAGUCGUUCUGAGGUUUGAGUACCAGGAGCAGUGGGGACUGUUCCAGAGGGAUGUUCAGCCUCAUGUGUUGGGUCUACACGGCUUCAGUUGUCCAGGGUGGUGUGAAGAUGAAGGUUGAGAAGACAUAAAAUGGGCUGUUUGGCUUUCUGGGUGAGUGUUUCAGUGUCCAAACACCAGUGAAGGUCGUGAAUACCAGUGCUCCUAUGUGGCCUUGUCCUGGGAAUAGCUCUGGUGUUGGCACGGAUUUUAGAAUCAUAGAACCAGUUAUGGCUGGAAGAGACCCUUAAGGUUAUUGAGUCCAACUGUUAACCCUAUUCUGGCACUAAACCAUGUCCUUAAGAACCUCUUCUCCAUGCCUUUUAAACCCCUCCAGGGAUGGUGACUCCAGCACUGCCCUGGGCAGCCUGUUCCAAUGCCCGACAACCCUUUCCAGGUAGAAAUUUUCCGUAAUAUCCAAUCUAAACCUCCCCGGCGCAACUUGAGGCCAUUUCUUCUGGUCCUGACGCUUGUUUCUGGGGAGCAGAGCCCGACCCCCCCUGGCUCCAAGCUCCUUUCAGGCAGUUCAGAGAUCAGAAGGUCUCCCCUCAGCUCCUGUUCUCCAGCUGAACCCCCCAGGUCCCUCAGCCGCUCCAUCACACUUGUGCUCCAGCCCCUUCCCCAGCUCCGUUCCCUUCUCUAAACUCACUCCAGCACCUCAAGGGCUUCCUUGUCGCCCAAAACUGACCCCAGACUUCAAGGUUUGGCUUCCCCAGUGCCAAGCACAGGGGGAUGAUGAUUUCCCUAGUCCUGCUGGCUACACUAUUCUCAAUGCGCACAUUUUGAUGGGUUUUGAGCUCUUUCUGGGGAUUUACAUGGUGCUUAGGCCACUUUCUGCCUAAAUGGCUUGCAGCAGAAUCUAGGUGGGAAGCAGAUUCCCUCACUCCCAGUGGGAAACCAUCAGUCAUGCACAGCAGGUAAUAUCAGGCUCUAAUAUGGCUCAUGUGCUGAUGCCCAAGCAGCUCCUCGCUUGAGAGUUUUAUCUCUCUGGGCUCCAAGCACCUAAAUUACACCAAAAUUUAGGCAGAACAGAGACCAGACAUGCGGCUGAUGCUCCAGCCUCCCAUUCUCAUGGCUGGGGGCACUUGGGCACCUGUCUGCAGCCAGCAGGGCAACCACUGAACAGAAAGUCUGGGCUCCCCAAAGCUCCCGUCGUGUGUGUUUUGUGCCACUACAAGAAAAAAUUAUUGUGUUUGUUAUUGAUAGAAACCUAACUUAAUUUUCCUGUUAAUAAGUGUUUAACAGUGGUCUGUUGAUGUUAACGUGGUUCAGCUGAUUUCCCUCCUUGACCAAAUACAUGUCCUUCAUUGUGAUAAGCUGCUAGAGGAGUCAGUGUUGCUGAGAGGUGAUGAUCUCAUGAGAGCGCCUCGCAUAUGCAAAAGAAGGUGUUGAUUUUGAAAACCUGUUUAUAAUACAAACAAACUAACAGGUAAAUUAUUUCCAUUUUCAGUAAAUUGGUUGAAUACGUUCUCUGCUUUGGUUCUAUUUCCUGCUGUGAAGAAUAUCAUGUAAAUAUAUCUGGCAUAUAUUGUUUGUCGCUGUGCAGCACCAGUAUGUAGGAAGUGGAAAUCGAUUUCUGAUUGUUUGCUUUUUCAGCCUAACAAAGGAUGGUUCAAAGGUGAUUUGUUUUGCUCUGAAAGUAUUUCUGGCUUGGGUUUGGGGUUUUUUGCAGUGUCAUACAUGCUGGGAGGAGUUGUUUUCAGUUUAAAGAUCCUCCGCAGUCUGUUUGUCAGGCGUGGGAAUUCAGUUGGGAUUAGAAACAAUCACACUUGGAGCGGUCUGAUUGAGUUUCUUAGCGCUCUUAAUUACUGUCUUUCUUUCUACGUGAUGAUUUUAAUGUCACUUCUUUUCAGUAAUCGUGGAGUCUUUCGAAGUAAUCAGAUUUUGAGUUGGUGUUAUAGCAGGAAAAAGAGGAGAAAAAUAAGUUUUCAUGUGUGUAUAUUGUUAUUUUUAAAAGCUAUGCAAUGGCACUUCUUUCCAGGUCACCUUUCCUCCUUUAACAUGAUCAUUUGUGCAGCAAUGUAAAUUAAUCCAGCACUGAAGAUAAGCAGAAGGGCAAAAAAGCCCCAAACGCCUGGUUUUAAGAGCCCAGAGACAUAAGUGAUGCACAGGAAUAUAAACAAUAGGUGUGGGUUCCGAGCGCUUCAUGUCAGGGGCAUUUCUGUUCAGCGCUGGGAUUAGCGUUUCUAUUGAAAUUUAUGUAACAGCUACGUUGCCAGGGUGGUUUCUAAAAAUGAUGCUCUUCGCUCUUCAGAUUCCAAAAGCUUUAAGUCAGAAGAAAUAUUUGAAGCUGAAGAAAUCUUUUCUCUCUUCUUUUCCCUAAUGGUCAUUGGUUUUCUCCCAGAUCCCAGUGAGAUUUUUUUAAGCCGGCAGUGGGAAUGAAAAAAUGUAUUCAGAGCGUAAAGAAAACAACAGGGUAUUACGUUGUUCAUUAUGGUUGCCCUGGACAGUUUCUAAAGUAGAACAUCUGCCGCUUUUAUCCAGCAAAUCAUGGUGCCCUUGGGGAAGAAAAGAAAACACGUAUUUUCCAGGCUCUGUCACCCCCAAGAUCGCUGUCUGAGGAGGAACAGUCAGCUGCUAUGGUGAUGGGCACAGGGUGGGAACACGGACAGAAAUAGGCUGGAACCAGACUAUUCCUGUUUCCUUCCCAUUUCAGUAGCCUUUUCUGAACUUCUGAUUUCAAGGGGUUAACAGGUUGUUGCAGUGUUCUGUGCCUCAAAUUCUCACAAAUAAUGCAAAUCUAUGUAAUAAUACUCAGGCAAAAAGGAGAAUAAGGUACUCGAAUUGGUGAUGUUUUUACAGGACUCCAUGUAAUUCCCUGCAGUGCAGCGUGUGCCCGUUGUGCUUGAAUUUGGAUGCACAGAAACCUCCCUCCUCCCGUAUGAAUUGCAGUCAGUUUUUGGUAAUGCAUAAUUCAUACACCAAAGCCUUUGUCACACAAACAUCUUACUGUUUUUCCCCCGGCUUGAUAAGCUUUUGUAUUUUUAGGAUUUCUGUUUCCCAAUAAUCCCCCAAAUCAGCCUGAAGAGGUUUCAGAACAGAAUUCAGCGUAAAUCGGAGACAACUUGUACGUCAAGGAUGUCGCUCUACGCAGUAGGUGAUUCUCUGGCACCUGCUAUUUACAGACCCUUCCUCCACAAAGAAUUAUUUCCCCUGGUGUGGGUGGACUGGGACUCAAGAUAAUCCAGCAGGAGAUCGAGGACAAACCUGUCAAUAACGAAUUGUUCCAGAAAUACACGGAGAAAAUUGUACAUGAAGGCUGUUUUUUCUGAGGUGUAGCACAUCUGCAUCGCUCCUUGGCAUCAGCAGGUAUUGUAAAUACCUUGUAGCCGUCAGACCUUUCCAUGUUAGAAGCUUCUGAAAUUAAAAAGGUAAAUGUGUUAAAUAACAGAGAUAUUUCAUUAGUGGGAAAUGUUGAUCUUUAUUCAAGGACCAUUUGGUUGUUCCUCAGGAGUGUUGCUCAGAUUACCAGCUUAUUUGGUAGCGCUUUACAGUACAGGAAGGAAAGUGAGAUAUGUGAAAUACUGUCACCAGUGUAGGAAAUUUGGACAGUAACCAUUUGUCAAGACAUUAAUUUCCCCCCAGAAGACCCAAAUGCUUUUUCUUCUUACCUCUUUAUGUCAAGCCUGUGCAGACCUUCUGCCCAUAUUAAAUUCUAGCUGUGCAGAGUUUAUUUCUUGCGAUUUUAAGGUAACACAAUCAAAUUUUAAAUGGAAAAAUGCAGGCAGCCGGCCAACGGGGAAAGCUGGACCUUUGAUAAAAAACCAGUCAAACCAAAGUGAGAGCCUCGAAGUUUGGUGUAUUGAUUUUCUUGUGGAAGUUCAAGAACUGUGUUUCGUUGCAGGCAAAAACUCAUCUCAACUCCUCGUGACCAGCUGAGCAGGGGAGAUGGGAUUCGAUGCCGUCCAAGGCGUAAUUCCACAGUUCGUGUCUUUCGCUAGUACCAGCUUAAUAAGUUUCUGCCUAACCCCAGCCGUUCAUUUCCAGCUCAGCAGCAAUGCGGGGCCAUCUCUUUCCUGACCGCGUGGAAAACCAGAUGACCGAAAACACAUUUUGAAUUAGAAUCGUUUGGCUGAACUUGCUUUAUGAGAGUCAUAGCGGUACAGCUGAAGGUGACGUGAACUGCAGCAUCAAGAAGCAGCAGCGAGCGCUGGUGGGUGUCCCAAUGUUAAAUGAGCUUUCUAUCAACAAAAAUCCGCUCUGGGACCGUAUCCUGGAUGAAUGGGUUUCACUAACCCCGGUAAUACUUAGUGAACUGCUGCUUUUCAUUUGAUUUUAUUUUAUUGAGAAAGGUUAACAUCUUGGGCAGGUUUUAUUCCUGAGGACAUCAAACCAUCUCUGUGAGAAGUCAGUCAGCUUUGUGGACAGCUACGAAUGUCAAUAAAGUCUUGGCAAACGCAGUAGGUAUUUAUUCAGCCUUGCAAAUUAAAAACAUUUUUCCUGCUUGUUUAGCAAAGGGAACAAAAAAAGACAAAUUACAUAGCGGAUGAGCUCUUUUGAUAGUUGGAAUUCAUUAAGCUGGUGGUGAAAACGCCGGGGGAUUGAUGGUGCAGAAAAAGAAAAGAUGAAGCAGCUUUUCCCAAAUAGCUGUGGUUUAAGUUGAAAAUGACCAAAACAAAAGAAUCCCUUAAAGACAUCUGUAACUGACCUCACAGCCUCAGUUUCUAUCCUGGUAGGCAGUUCUUUCUCGCUGCAGUUAGUAUUAAUUGGUUUUUCAGCUGACAGGCAGUUUCUCAAUCUUCAUCAUUCCGUACCUCAUUAAUGUUUAUAAAUACGUAAAGGGUGAGUGUGAGUGUCAUAUAACGAGAAAAAACGGAGCUGCCAAGCGCUUGGGUAGGAAAAAUUUAGUGAAAUAUAACAAGGGAAGGUGUUGAGUAUUGUGUUCGGGUAGGAACAGCCCCAGGUUCCAGUUGGGGAAUGACCUAUUAGAGAGCAGUGUAGGGGAAAGGGACCUGGGGGUCCUGGGGACAGCAGGGUGACCAUGAGCCAGCACUGGGCCCUUGUGGCCAGGAAGGCCAAUGGUACCUGGGGUGGGUUAGAAGGGGGUGGUCAGUAGGUCAGAGAGGUUCUCCUGCCCCUCUGCUCUGCCCUGGGGAGACCACACCUGGAAUAUUGUGUCCAGCUGUGGCCCCUCAGUUCCAGCAGGACAGGGAACUGCUGGAGAGAGUCCAGCGCAGGGCAACAAAGAUGCUGAAGGGAGUGGAGCAUCUCCCGUGUGAGGAAAGGCUGAGGGAGCUGGGGCUCUGGAGCUAGAGGAGACUGAGAGGUGAUCUUAUUAAUGUUUAUAAAUAUAUAAAGGGUGAGUGUCAGGAGGAUGGAGCCAGGCUCUUCUUGGUGACAACCAAUGAUAGGACAAGGGGCAGUGGGUGCAAACUGGAACACAGGAGGUUCCACUUAAAUUUGAGAAGAAACUUCUUCCUGGUGAGGGUGGCAGAGCCUGGCCCAGGCUGCCCAGGGGGGUUGUGGAGUCUCCUUCUGUGCAGACAUUCAAACCCGCCUGGACACCUUCCUGUGUAACCUCAUCUGGGUGUUCCUGCUCCAUGGGGGGAUUGCACUGGAUGAGCUUUCCAGGUCUUUUCCAACCCCUGACAUUCUGUGAUUCUGCUAUAGGAUACCUGCAACAGCUCAUAAAUAAAACACAAGAUAAGUAGGAAGUUCACACAAUCGCUUCCCGUGCUACAGCCGUUCUGCGAACAGAAGAAUUGUCAGUGUGUCAUCUUCCCUUGGCUCCAUGUUUUAUUAAAAAAAAUAGGAAUUUAAAAAGUUACAGUAAGCUGAGCAGUUUUUCAGACAUAACGUACUCACAGGCUAUUGUCUGCAAAUUACAGACUGACUGGAUCUUCCAGCCUGUUGUAGAUGGAUUGUAAAGCUGUCAUAAGUAAAGCUCUAACAAAAUCCAUUUACACAGCUCCUGAUAUGGCAGAGCAUGGAAAGGAAGCAGUAAGACUUAUUUUUUUUGCAAAUUUCCUGCACAGUGUCAUUAAUCCAGCUGGAGGUCUUUCCAAGUUCUUCUCGGUAGCUGUUCUCUCUCAUUAUCCUUGAUGAAUGUGAUGAAGUGCCCACAGUCAUCGUUUACAGUCAAAGAUGGGAUCAUAGUUCACGUGUUACUCUGAGUGUUUGACUGCAGGAAUUCAUCACUGGAAGAGAGGGGGUUACCUGACAGGUGUCCCAACGCAGCUGAACCUCCUAUAAAUCACUAGAAUUAUUCAACAGCAAAACAAAGCCAUUGUAAACUCUAAUCUUGCAGUGGCUUAAUUGCAGAUAAAGCUUUAGUCAUAUAAGUAAUCCUGUUGAUGUCAAAUAAAAUCACGUGAAUUACAAGUAUUCGAUAUCAAGGCUUAAGUCACUGACAUGUCAUUCUUAUAAAUGUCAUUCUUGUAAUUUCCUCUGGAAGAUUAGCAAACAGUGUUGGGUUAUAGCUGCAGAAACAAAAACAUAAUCAGAAACUCUUCUGUCUAAAAUUUUUAUCCGAGUCUGUGAAUUCUGGGUUUGCUCUAUAUAUUCCCAAGUUCUUGCUUUUCUGGUAGGUAAAGAUGUUAUUUCCUCUGUUCCUCCUCUUCCUUUCCAGUUAAACGAGAAAAUUGCUCUCAGCUUUUCUUGUCAUUAAAUCUAGGAAGGACAGAAUAGUCCAAGAUCUGAAAAUGUUUUAAAGCUUACAGGACCUAAUUGGAAGGAGGCGCCUCGGAGAGGUACAGUAGCUCUCUAUCUGCAGUUCAUUUGUUUUUGCGAUUUAGACAUGACAGUCUACAGCCCUAACGAGAGUGUUUCUCAUUAUCUGUGUUCUAGAAACAUGCAGAGUCAUUGCAAGUUCUGAAAGAUGCUUUCUUUAAAAGUGCAAAUGAUAUUAAAUGAAGAAUUUGCUUUCCGGAUAGUCAGAUGGAGAUGCUGUGGUCCAAACCCGUUCUGGGGCUAAUGGUAAAUAAAGUCAGAACCCCACAACUUGAGCUCAGCUUUUAAUCCCAUGUAUAUCACAAAUGUAUAGGGAAAGAUGCUAUAGCACAGUUUAGCUGUGCCUUGUCCAGGGAAAACAAUGAUUGUGAAGUGUUGUUGCUUUUCUCAUUUCGCAGAUGGACUUUCUCAUGAAGAUUUUCUUGGAGAGGAGCGUGUUAGCUGUGCUGUUGACAGAUACCCUUGUGGGAACUGUCCACAGUUAUUUCAGAUUUCUCUGUCUUCAGCCAUCUACAAGUUCAGUUUCUAGUCUAAGCCGGUUGUUUUGCGUGGCAUUGUGGUAAAUGAAGAGAGGGAUGCAUCUCUAGAGGGGAUUAAACCUUAGAAACAGAUGUAAUUAAUCAGUUAAGUUUUUGACAUGGUUUGCUGCCCCCUGAAGAGGAGUUUUGAGACUAUUUGGCUGUCCUCAGUAAACUACAGGUGGGUCCAUGUUUGUUGAUGGUUCUAAGCCACUGCAGUGAGUUUUCACAGGACUUGCAGAGGCAGGUACAGUGCUCGCUGGGUGUAUUAAACUGCAGGAAGGAAAAAGCAAGAUGCUUCACUCUUCCUGAGUUACAUUGCAGCACGGCAAACUUGGAGGCUUUUUCAUGCCUUGAGGAAACUGUUCAGUCCUGCCCACAUUUUAAAACUGCUUUGUUUUAGCCGUGCUGAAGCAUCAGCAUUUCUUGAACCUGCAUGGGAGAUUCCCAGCCAGAAUUCUGACUCCAGCACAUCCCCAUCCUGCUGUUCCUGACUGCUCAGCUCCUCACACUGUUCUGGACAGAAGAUCUGUAUAAUAAAUCACAACGCUGAUGAGGCCUGGCAUAGAUAGAGCUCUUUCAGUAACCGCAGCAACUGCCCGUUUUCAGACGCCCAGCCCGCUCCGUUUGGUCGCUUUCCUUAAAAUAAUGUUGUUUUACGCCCAUGUGGGACAUGCUGUCUUAUUGCAUCUUGCUUGUUAUGCUUCGGGUAAUUUGUUCUUGCUGAAAGGCUGUGAUGUACCCAUUGAGAACUUCCCAGAACGUGGCUGAGCCCUGUAGUCUGUGCAAACACUCCAGCUUGCUCGACGUUAUUCUGCCGAUGUGAUUGGGAUACGUUUGUCCUGCCAGCUGAGAUGAGGAGUUGCAGACAGGUUAAAAAGAAAAAUACAUCUGUUUGAAGGGAAUAAAUUGUCUAGAGAACACUUCGGUAGCCAGACUUCCAGGAAAAAAAACCCGUGUCAGACUUCUUAGAAGUAGCGCUGGGACCAGGUGGUAAGAUCUGAAUAGUCUGUAAUUAAUUCAGUCCUUCAGUUUGGGCACAUUCCUUUUCUCUUAACAUUGCAAAUACCACCUCAGCGAGAGCUGGCAGACAGGUUUCCCAUGAUCCACCUGACUUUUUGAAUGAAUAUUCACCAUUUAGGCAUUAAUAUGUAGCUUCUGUCACAUAGUGGUAUUAAUACUUGUGCUACUGCUGUUAAAAAUAAGAUGUUAGCAUCUUGCAGGAGGCCUUUUUUUGCUGUCACUAGAGGGAGUUUGCGGCACCUUUCCUCGCUGAUUUGGGAGCAGACCUCAGCAGAUGCAAUGUGUGAAUAGAAGACAGGAUCAAAAGUAGGACGGUUCCUGGUUAAACCCUUGUACAUGUUGUCCAAGCUUUGAUUAACUAAAUUCUUCAGAGCGACGCUGCUGUAAGCAAUUCUGUUGGUAGCACUGUAAUGGAAAACAGAAAUGCACAUUUGGUGACUCAAAUCAAGGGUGAGAAUUUUUAAAAGUAUCAUCUAUUUAAUAGGGAAAAGAUAAAACCAACAUGGAUAGAUAUUCUUCUGCAGCAUUUCCAGUUUAUUGUUGCAGGAAUGUCAUCUCAGCGAGAAACAAGCUCCCUCAGGAAGCUGGUUUCAUAUGGUGGUUUAGAUUUAACUAUUCAUUGUCUAGCACCAUUUGAAAUCAGUGUUCUUGGAGGAAGAAUGGCUGCUGUCCUCAGUGAAACGGAUCCUCGGAAACCUCCAUGGAGAGGAAGAGAAGGUGCAGAUCUUCCUUUUGCGCAUCUGCUGUUGCAAUUAGUUCCAGCACCAAACAAAGUCCCUCGUUAGGUUUGGACUGCAGGGUCUGUGGGCCAGAUGACCCUUGGGAGAGCCAUAUAAUGUGUGAUUUCUGCUGUAAAUCUGCUGGGCAGUGGCAUGUUUGUAGUAUUUGUAGGUGGUGAACAAGAGCUCUGAGAACACAAGGGCUUAUAACACACAAACAAUGCAAAAUCAGUGUAAUACAGAAUUGCAACACUGUUUUCAAGACAUGGAAGUUAAUGCACCAACUAGCAAAUCUAUUAUGAACAACUAAUUUGUACAACAUGGUGAGGAAUAAGGAACUUAAUUUGCUCUGCUUCAUAUUCAAUAUCAAGCAUGUUUCAGCCUUACAUAGAUACAUUUUUGUUGGUUCUUUACUGCCCUUGUAAAUACCUCGUCCAUGUAUCAUCCAAGACAUGCAACGGAAUUGACAGCAGAUGAUUUUGAAUUUAAGCACUGGGAGCUGUAGGUGCUGUUUGCAUCCCCGCUGUGUGUUUGCUUAUUCAUGUUUGGCCGAUCCUAAUAUGCAGAUUUAUUUUGUGUGACAGCUUCCCAAUGUUCAGGUUGUAGGUUGAUAGUUUGGUCAUUCAUGGAAGUAGUUGGUCAUUCAUGGAAAUGACCAACACCAGCGUCUCUGAGAUUGGACCAUGCGUGGUAGGUCACGUUGGCCAAGGCUACUGAAAUGUGGAAAGCUUGAAGCGCUUUAAGGUUGGCUUUACCAUAUUAAAAGAUGUGUGUAGCUGUUGAUUGAUUCUGAUAGUUUUCACCUUCUAAAUCAUUGUCUUCUCACAGGCGUUUUAAUAACAUAACAUUUUGUUCGUGAAUGAUGCCACAGAGGUCACUAAUCAACACUUACGAAGUAUUUGGGGAUCUUCCAGUGUAAAAUACCGUCCAGCUCCUAACUCUUCGUCCUUGCAGAUCUCAGUAACCCCUUUAGAGGAUGACUGAUUUCUUUUGGUGUUCAGAGUCAAUAAUAUUUUCUAGCACCAUUUGAAAUCGGUUAUAGUGAUUGGGGAAUUGCUCCUUGCGAAUUUUACACAAGAGGCUGCAAAGAGAACCUUUUGUGGUAUUAUCUAGGACUGAAAAAUAAAGUGUGUUAUUUUAGUGAAUGGAAUUGCUGAACCCAGAGAUUGUACACGCUUAAACUCUAGUGUUUCAUAUAGCUGGAGAUUUUUCCUAGAAGAAUAAUAGGAUCUCUAGUAGAGCAUGUAAAAUAUAUAACGUGAGGUCUUGAUUUAGGUCAUCUGUGUAAAGAAGAUACUCAGAGUGGCUUGGAAACCCAUACAGUACUGAGAGUAGAGAUAAAGGGAAGUGGUUUUCUCAAUGAAUCAGUAUGGACUUCAGAUAAAAGAAAUAAAAAUACCUUGUUGGCUUAA